GUACUAAUAUUUUUAGAAUGGUACAAGAGUUUUUCAGAGGUAAUUCUCUUCCUAGAUUCAUUACUCACACUAAUUUGGUACUGUUACCUAAGAAGGAACAAAUUCAGUCCUUCUCUGAUUUAAGACCAAUUAGUUUGAGUAAUUUCACUAAUAAGAUUAUGUCCAGGGUUGUUCAUGACAGACUGGAAGCUUAUUUACCCAAAUUGAUUUCCUACAAUCAAUCAGGUUUUGUUAAAGGUAGAAGCAUCAUUGAAAAUGUGCUUUUGACACAAGAGAUUGUCUCUAACAUCAGAAAGAGAGGUAAACCAGCAAAUGUGAUCCUAAAGCUUGAUAUGACCAAGGCUUAUGAUAGAGUAUCUUGGUUCUUUUUUAUGCAAGUUUUAAGGAAAAUGGGCUUUUCAGAAUUGUUUGUUGAUUUGAUUUGGAGAUUGAUCUCCAACAAUUGGUAUUCAGUCUUGAUCAAUGGCCAAGCACAUGAUAUUUUCAUUCCAGUAAGGGAGUGAAACAAGGAGACCCUUUAUCUCCUGCUCUCUAUCUUAUCGGCAGAAGUGCUUUCCAGGGGCCUAAAUGUUUUGUUUGAUGAUGAUCAAGUUAUAGGGUAUGGUUUACCAAAGUGGAGUGCUAAGCUUAAUCAUUUGGCUUACGCAGAUGACACUAUUAUAUUUGCUUCAACUAACAGUUACUCUUUGAAGAGAAUAGUGUCAAUUUUGCAGGAGUAUGAAGUUCAGUUAGGUCAGAAAGUCAACAAGGAGAAAAGUGCUUUCUAUUUACAUCAAAGUGCAAGUUUUACUGAGAAACAAUUGGUGGAAGAAUGCACAUGUAUUACUAAAAGUCAAUCUCCUUUGAAAUAUCUAGGUUGCCCUAUCACCCACUCCAGGAAAAGGAAGGAACAUUAUGAAGAGCUUAUUAAGAAAGUGAAGGCAAAACUUCAAUCUUGGAAAGGGAAUAUGUUGUCAUAUGGAAGAAAAGAGGUUCUUAUCAUGAGUGUGCUACAGAGUGUUCCAAUUCAUGUAUUAUAAGCUAUAGUUCCUCCUAUAUGCGUGCUUAAGGAACUUCAUAAGAUUUUUGCUAAAUAUUUUUGGAGUAACAAAACUACAGGCAAGAGUAAACACUAGGCUGCAUGGGUUGAUGUUUGUUUACCUAAACAAGAAGGAGGUUUGGGUUUUAGAUCCAUAUUUGAUGUUUCUAAAGCAAUGUAUGCUAAAUUAUGGUGGAGAUUCAGGAUUCAGAAUACCUUAUGGGCUAAUUUUAUGUGGAACAAAUAUUUUAAGAAGCAUAUUCCAGCUCUGGUUCAAUGGAAAGGUGGAUCUCAAUUAUGAAAGAAUAUGUUACAAAAUAGGGAUGUCAUUGAAAAAUUUAUAUGGUGGGAGCCUAAGGGUGGAACUUCUACUGUUUGGUAUGAUAAUUGGACCCAACUAGGUCCUCUUUACACAUAUCAAACUGAAGUACAAACUUGUCACUCUUUGAUGGACAUUGAGAUUUUCAUGAAGGAAGUAGGGUGGGAUUAUGAUAGUAUGUAUGAUCAUCUGCCUUAUCAUGUUGUGGAACAUAUUAGGCAGCAUAUGGAUCAUAUUAGACAGACUGAUAUGGGAGACAAACCGUGGUGGAUCAAGACAAGCAUUGAAAAGUUCUCAGUUAAGAGUGCAUGGGAGAUUUUGAGGGGAAAAAAGGAAGUAAAUGAAAAUUGUAAGAUGAUAUGGGUGCAAGAUCUUCCUUUUAAGAUAUCUUUCUUUAGUUGGAGGAUUUGGACUAAUAGAGCUCCAGCAGCUGCUGUUAUAGCUAAUUGGAAUCCUAAUCAGUCUCAACUUUGUUUAUGUUGUACUGUUCCAGUAAGAGAAACUAUGGAACACUUAUUUUUGAAAGGUGAAAUUGCCAACAAAGUGUGGCAAUAUUUCUCAUCUGCAGCUGGAAUAUUAGGGCCUUGGAUUUAGUUGAAGCAAUCUAUUAAAAGAUGGUGGGAUGUUCAAGGAAAUACUAGGCAAAAGGUGAUGUUUCAAGCUAUUCCUAAUAUAAUCUUAUGGUUCUUAUGGAAAAGGAGAAAUAUUGUGCUUCAUGGUGGUAAUUACACCACAAGUAAAGUGAUUUGGGACAUCAAUAGUACUGUUCAGAAAUUUAUGAAGUUAAAGUUUCAAUAUACUAAUGUCCCCUCCACUUGGCCACAGAUGGUUGCUCUAUUGGAUGCUUUCAGACCUAGGUUUGUCUAUAAAUGGGUUAAAUGGCAUCCUCCACCAUCUGGGUGGUUGAAAUGUAAUACAGAUGGGGCUUAUAGAGGUAAUCCUAGGCCUAGUGUUGUUGCCUUUUGUAUCAUAAAUCACGAAGGAGAGCUGGUGAUUGCUAAGGGGGUGAGGAUCCCUGAUUCUACUAAUCUAGUGGCUGAAGCUAUUACUAUUAGAGAAAGUCUUCAAUGUUGUUUGGAAAACAACUUUCCAAACAUUAUAAUUGAAACUGACUAGUUGGCUUUGGUACAUAUGCUGAAGGGAGAGUGGGAAAUACCUUGGAAUGUGACAAUGGAGGUCAAUUCCAUCAAUAGAUUGAGGAAUUCCAUGUCAGUAAGAGUACAACACUCCUUAAGGGAGGGAAAUACUCUUGCUGAUUUUUUUGCUAACUUGGUUUUUCUUUUUGCAGGUACAUAUGAAUUAAGAUCUCUCCAAGAGGUUCCGGAUACAGCCAAGAGAAUUAUCAUCUUAGAUAAACAAAGCACACCACAAUUGAGGAUAAGGCAGUCAAACACUACAAGAGUAUAAAUGGUUUGAUUAGAAUAUACUUUACAUAUGAUACUGAUAAAGCUAUAUUAGAUGAUAAAAGCUACUACACAUUAUAUGAUGUCUGAAUGAAUUUCAGUUGGUUGACAUACCAUGCACCUGGUGAGAGUUUAGGGUGUUUCAUAUGGUAUAAAAUCAAGACUCAUAGAUUGUAGCAGUCAAUUAACAUCUAUAGUAGGUUUAUUAUUUCACAAUACACAUAGCAGAAUAACUUCGAAAUUGGUUAUUUCGAACAAUCAGUCCAAAAGAGAAGAGAAUAAUUGGUUGGGUUCAAUUGUGUACCUGACAAUUUUUUCAAGUCCAGAAUACUUUGCACAACCUGUACAAUAGUGUAAAUCCCAAAAAUCCAUACACAACCUCGAAGAAAAAAAAAAGUCAGAAAUUAGUAAUUCUUUUACGAUUUAAGGUUCGGUGGUGGUAUUAAUCCUGUUUUUGGGUUCAACCCACUGAAGGUUAGAUCAAAGAAGAUGAACUAAUUUCAACUAACCUGAGGUUAAAUGGAUGGAUUACCCUCUUUCCACAUAAUCUACACGAGCUUGGAUCCACAUGAAAUCUACGAGGAGAAAACUGAGCAAAAAGAUUGAAAUCAUUUGGCAUGGAUAGAUUGAGAUGAAUCUGAAUAGAAGUGAGUAGGCAAAAUACCAAAGGGUUUCAAGGGUAUACAAUUACGCCGAAUUGAAGUAGAGUUUCAGCUCCGAUUUGAUUAUGUAUCGAGGAAGAGGCGCUGCACCUGCAAGUACUCUUCAACUUCCACUUUCCUAAUUUUUUUUUUUGAUAUUUCUUAGUUGGUAGGAGUUGUCUUUUAUUGUUUUGUUUAUUUAUUUGGUGGGUUGUUCACUUAGGCAACCCAUAUGUUUUGUAUAUAUUUUCUCUUAGUUUAAUAAAUUCUUGACCCAUGUGGUCUUUGAUUUAAAAAAAAAAAAAAAAUCUCAAACCAAAGAAAGAGUUUUAUUUUUAAAGAUAUAAGUGGUUAAAACACACCUAAACUAUACCUUUUUUUUGAGUUUCAUACCCAAACUAUUGAAAGUGUGAGAAACACACCUAAACUAUUACACUUUAGUUUGAAAAACACACCUUUGUGCUGACUGGACCACAUGUGUGUGUACACACUCUUUUGCGCGCGUGUGGCCUUGAUUUUCGUCCACAUGGCUUCUCUUUUUCAAAAAAUAAAUAUCAAAAACACACCUAAAACUAUAAAAUUGUUUGACUACUUUCCCACCUAAACUAUUAGGAGAGUGAGAAACACACCUAAACUAUCAUUCAUAAAUUUGAGAAACACACCUUAAAAUUAUAUGUUACACUAGUUGCUUAAGCUCGCUCAAAAGGGACUGAUAUUUGUAUAUCAAUGAUGCCAUACAAGGAAUCCACGACGCCCUUUGGUAGCUUUAAUAAUUUGAGGGGUGAGUAAUUGUCCAUGACAUCAGAUUCUAUUUUUUUUUGUUUGUUUAAUAACUAGUUAGACUAUAUUUGUGGUAUCAUUAUGCCACCAAAUAGAGAAUAUUUUCUUUCUAUUGAAUUAUCGCUUUUUACAGACUACUUCAUCAAUCAUUUUCUGAUUACGAUUAUUUAAACAACUAUGAGCAGCUAAGGACAGAAGUCACCAAAGCAUUUUUAGUAGCUCGAAGUAAAAAAUUGAUCGGCUCUAGUUUGUAUAGUAUAGAAACACUGAAACCAAGUAAUGCUUCAAUUUGCCGACCAACCUGCCGACCAACCUACAACGAUAUUAAAUUACUUGGGCUGCAAAUCAGUAUACCAUCCUAUUCACAACCAAAAUACACGACUUAAGAACAGUUCGAACCACAUGAAAAAUCAGUCACCAUGUUUAGUAGCUUACAAUAACUACUUGGGCUGCAAAUCAAUCACCGUAUGUAGUAACAUCAAAGUUCACAACUAAAAUUCGAUAUCGUCCUAUUCACAACCAAAAUAUGCGACUUAAAAAUAGUUCGAGCCACAUGAAAAAUCAGUCACAUCAUCCCUAAACACCUUCAGUUCUUGCUGCACCUUAUGAUGACGUUUGUGACUUGAUGUUCUUCUGUCUAAGCAAAGCACUUUUAUGUUGAAGUUGUCUUCCUGUGAUAACACUUUUCCCCUUCCAUUUAAGACCUUUACUUGGUGCAUACCCAAGGUCACCGGUGACAAUAGCUGAACUUAUCAGUUUCUUUUGUGCUUCACUCUUGAUUACCCUACUAAUAGAUCUUCCUUGCUGUAAAGUAUAAAGAGUCGUUAAAUUAUUUUUAAGAAGUUUAAUCAAGAAUAUAAGCUUAUUAACUCUCAUUUUUUACCUCGGCAACAAAUAAACCAUCUUUGCUCACAAAUACUCCAUGACCCACUACUCUUGGCCUCUUAAAUGCACUAUUUGCACCUUUUUCUAUUACCACUGUCACUUUGCACUAUUGCUUGAGAUGGUUCAGAAGAUUGAGAUUGUUGUACUUCUUGAGUGGGGUGAGAUUUUUUCUUGCCACUUCUUUUACUACUGGCAGAUGCUUGUGAUGUAGUAAUACCCUAUGCAAAGAAUAAUUUUGAAAGUGUUAACAGUAUUAAUACACUAUAAAUAAACGUUAAUAGAAAUCAAAUGUACCUCUGAAGUGGCUGGAGGUUUGUUUGGACAUUUUCUUAUAAUGUGACCUUUUGACUUACAAGCGGAGCAACUCACGGUUUUCCCCCUCUUUGGAAGCUUUCUAGAACUUGGUACCUCUCCAAGUUCCUUCUUUCUUUUUAUACCAGGCCUUCCUGGAAUUUUCCUAACAAGAGGUGGCUCAACUUUUGAAUUCGAUGUCUCGGGCCACAUCUUCAUGUUUGUUACUGGUUGUAAAAAAUGUUUAUAAGCUUUUAGCUAGGUUUCUUUUUUGUACCACUUACAAACUGAGUCAAGGAGAUUAGCUUCAUCGUGAUGUAUAGAUGCUAUUGCAUGUGCACAAGGAAUCCCUUUCAAUCCCCAACUUCUACAAGUGCAAGUUCCUUGAAUUAGGUUAACCAUAUGUAUAUAUGGACUAUCUUUCACUUCAUACCCAAUGUCACCAUUCCAACUAGUUUCCACCCUCAUUGACUUCUUCACAUUUGUAUUUAGCACCAACAUUGCCAUUGGAGAUAUGUCAUGAGUCCAACUAUUUACAAAUGUUAUCACUUUAGUGAAUCUAUUCAUUACCUUUUUCCUUAUUUCUUCAAGCAUACUGAUGAUAGUCUUGUCCCUAGCACCCAACCCCCAAGCAUUAAAACUUUCAGCCAUAUUGUUAUCCACACUGUCACAUUUUGAGGAUGUCCUAAACUGUGCUUUGGACCAUCUAUUAGGAUUGAAGUUUACCAUGUCAUUAGAAAUAUCUUUGCCUAAUUGUGCUAAUUUAUCCAAGUUCUUCCUGAGUUCAGCUUCAAAUGUUGAUCUAGCACAAGCCCAAAACCUCUUUCUUUCCUCAACACCUUCCAGUUUUUUUACCAAUUUGCAAGUAUAUGUCUUGCACACAUUCUUUGUUCACAUUCUAGAAGCAACUCCUGAACAACUAAAUAUAAUCCCUGAAAAACUUAUGUGGUUAAAAUCACUCAAAACAAUAACUAAAAAAUAUGUUGCUUGGACUCUUCAAAAAUGUCAAUGAGGGCAAGUUGAAUUAGCCAAAAGUAGUGUAUUUUUUGUUAAUCCAAUACAAGUGUGGCAUCAAAAGUGAAGAAUACGCACAACUAAGACUAAAAUCACUAUACAACUAAAGCUAAAAGGGAUGAAAAUAGUAGCAAAAAAAAAAACAGUAGCUAAACAAGUUGAAUAACAAAGUACCGCUAGAGUUUCUAAUUUUGUGGACAAGAUAGAAUGUUGUUAUGGACUAUCAAAAGGUCCUUACAAAAUGCUGAAAUCAAUAGUUUAAAACUACUUAUAACACAUCAGCUAAAAAAUUAUGAAAUCAAUAGUUAAAAUUGGAUUAUAAGAGAUGAAACAGAGGUUAAAAAAGAGCUUAAAUUAGUAGUUAAAUUACUUAAAACACAUUAACUAAAACUUGUAAAAUCAGUAGCUAAAUAAGCUGAAAAUAGCAGCUAAUAUUGGCUAAAAUAGCUGAAACCAGAGGCUAAAAAUCAUACCUUUUGCAUAUCACUUAUGAUAGUCAAUCCUUCUCCUUCAUCAUUAAUGUCCAAAUCAGAUUUCAAGAUUCUCAAAAACCAAGUCCAAGUUUCUCUACUUUCAGUUCCAACAGCAGCCCAUGCUAUUGGGAACAUCUGAUUAUUCCCAUCAUUUGCAAUAGCAACAAGUAGCUGGCCUUUAGAUAUUCCCUUCAAAAAGCAACCAUCUAACCCAAUGCACUUUCUACAACCCUCAAUGAAUCCUUUUUUCAAAGCUGAAAAACAAAUAUAAAAGGAAUGAAAUAAUUUUUUUCCAUCAUCACAAUUUGUCACUUUCACCACACAAGUGCUUCCUGGAUUUGAUUCAAGAAGCAUAUCUCUGUAGUCAUAGUACUAAACUCAGCAACAUGAUCACCUAUUAUCUUUUUCAACACCAUUUUUCUGGCCUUCAAACACACGAACUUACCAACAUACAAUCCCAUGUCUGUCCUGACCAAAUCUUGUAUUUCCCAUCCCUUUAUGCAAGGUUGAGAAACAAUUCUACUUUUAUAGUACUUAGCCAAAAACUUAGAGUUGCACAUUGUGUUGGUAUUGGUCCUAUAACACUUAUUCUCUAGGAUUGUAGGUUUUUAUAAUGAAAUCAGAAGAUUUGAAAUCUUUGCUUGCAUAGAGUAUCCAAGGACAACCAUUAGCUUUGCAUUUUACUCUGACCCUUCUUUGAUCAUUGUGGAUCUUAUCCAGUUGACAACCUCUCUCAAUUGCAUACUUGCUAAAAGCUUCUAUGAAUUUUUUUACAUUUUCAAAUACCAUAUUAAGUUGCCACACAACUUUUUUCCAUGUUGGAUCAUAUGAGACCCUUUUGUCCUUCUUUCUUGCCCUUAAAAUAUCAGAUCUUUCAACAUUUAUUUCCCCCUCACUUUCACUUUCAAAACUAUCGACAUCAGAACUGUCGUAAAAAGGCUCAUCACCUACUAGCUUACCAGUUAAAUUUUUCUUGGGUUUAUCAAUGUCUUCAAAACCAGGAUCUAUGCCAACUUCUCCCAAAAAACACUAAGCAAUUUUUUUUUACUUGGCUCUUAUUUUUUCUUCAAAUAUGCUUCCAAAUCCUUCUUAACUAUGCUCAGCUCUUCAUGAAUAUCACUCCCAUAUCCAUCCUCGUCACUAGAAAAGUCAACAUUCUCAUCAGUUUUAGCAUCACUAUGCACAAUAGUUUCUACUUCAUCUUCCUCCGAAUCUUCAUCUUCACUAGAAAACUUAUAUUCAUAUUCAACUUCAUUUGUGUUUCUGCUGCCAUUUUUCUAUCAGAUUUUGAUUGUUGGACCCCCGACAAUUUGAUAUCUACCAUCAAUAAAUGUUAUUUCUUUCCCUAAAGGUGCAUUGAGACCUUCACCAGCUUUGUUGGUAGACUCUUUAUUAGGUCUAUCAACUUCAUUGCAUUUGGUCUCAAAAGACUCAUUGGUCACAUGUGUUGUUUUGAUAAAAUCUUCCCCUUAUGGCAGAUAUAAAUGUCCAUAGUACCCCCAGCAACCAACAAAUUGGCUAAGACCAACGAAUCCCUAUCUUUAACCAAUUCUACCAAAUUGCCAACUUGAGCAGCUCCAAUAUAUAUUUUUUCUAUAUUGGUAACCCCAAAACCCCUGCAAUAGUCAUUCACUUCCGGAAUAGACAAAUGGUCUAUAUCAACAUUGAAGGCAUAUUCUUUCCCCCCCCCUCCCGCAAUAUAAGCAGGUCCUACCUCACUCACAAGUAUACCACCGAUGUGAAACCUCAAAUUUAUGUACUUAGUGCCCAUUACCUUAGAACAAUUGAAAUAUGCAAAGUUUAAUGAGCCAACUAUUGUUCAUGAAAUCAGUAGCUAAAAAUCGCCACCAGUACAAAAAUUAAGUUCAGGAGUAAAGAAAGAGUACCUUAUGUAGUCAAUUUCUUUUCCUUUCAAAUCUUUUAAGAUGGUAUGAAUCAAAACCUAAAAAAUUAAACAAAAUCAUUAAUAUUUUGAGACAAAUAUAAGAACCCUAACAUUUUUUGACAAAUGAGUAACUAACCUCCAAACCAUGAUGAAUUUGUGAAUUAAUAGUUAAAACCCUAAUUUUACUCAAAAUUUUCAGACACCAAAGAGACUCAACUGAGAAACAGAGAAAGAUGCUUCUACACAUUGAAGGUUAAUCUUUAAUCUUUUGACAUGGUGGAAUUUGUUUCCAUGUGGCAUUUAAAAACUAAUAAUUGAGACAGUGUAAUACACACACUAUCAUAUUUUAUUUGAGGUGUGUUUUUCAAACUAAAGUGAAAUAGUUUAGGUGUAUUUCUUACACUUUUAAUAGUUUGGGUACGAAACUAAAAAAAAAGGUAUAGUUUAGGUGUGUUUUAACCACUUUUCUCAUUUUUAAAACAUAUGAGCUGAGUAUAUUUUGGGAGUAGUAUUGAACACCUAUAUGGGGAUGUGAGUUCAUAAUAACUCAAGUUUCCAUAAACUAUGUAGCCAUCAUGGGUAGAAAGGAUCAUACUUUUUAGAUGAUUCCUUAGUGCUUUUUAGCAUAGACUAGUGGAUCCACUUAGUUAAGGCAUUCUAUAUGAAGGAAAAGUAUAGUACAGUUGUGGCAGCGUGGGAAAGAUGAUGUAUCAUCACUUAGGCUCAUAGUGGUGGUUGUCGGUUAAAGAAACUCCCACAGUAUUAUAUUACUUUACAUGUAAAUUGAGUUGUUAUUGCAUUUCUUUAACAAAUUGAGUUGCUACCUCCUAUUUUAAAUGCUUUGUAUAACUGCACCAUUAUUGUUGUUUACUUUACAUUUGAGUUGAGUUAUUCAUGAGUUGAGUAAAGUCAAGGUAAGUGUUCUUUUCAGAUUCCUUUCAAGCUUAUGUCUUAUUUAGUGUUCCCCUCGCAUACUUGUACAUUCAAUGUACUUAUUCCAUUUGGCCUGCAUCAUUUUAUGAUGCAGACACAAGUAACCAGGAUCAGCAUCAAGCGCCUCGUUGAUCCAGUUGAGCACCCAAAGUCAAUUGGUGAGCCUCCUUGCUUUUUAGAGGACUCAUUUUACCUUGCUUUCUAGUAUUUCAAUUGUUAGGUGAUCGGGGGUUUUGUCCUGACAUCCCUCUUUGUUUUAGAGGCUUCAUAGACGAGUAGUUAUAGUUCUUUAGUCUUUCCGUUUUCAGUUGUAUACGUUAAGACUUGAGUUGCCAUUUUGGCUAAGCUUUAUAUCUCUUUAAAUUAUUGCAUGAGUUAUAUUUUGAGACUGUCUCUUAUGUUUAAGUCUUUCGCUGAGUAAGUAAGCCAGGCCAAGGGUUUGCUUGGGGUCAGAAAUGGUUCUCGAGUGCCAGUCCUACCCAGGGUGAAGGUUUUGGGCGUGACAAAAAUAUCAUUUUUCAUCUUUCCAAUGGGCAUAAUACUUCCGUUCACAACCAAAGUUUCCUCUACAGUUAUCAUGUUCACAUUAGCAUUCCCAUGUUUAGGCAGAUGAUUGUUGUUCACGUUGGGAUGAGGUCCACUAAGUUGGAUUUCUCCUUCUUUAAUCAAAGGUUCAAUCUUGUUUUUGAGACCAUAGCAAUCCUCAGUGUCGUGUCCAAAAACUCCAAAAUGAUAUACACAACGCCUAGAACCAUCAAACCAUUUUGGAAUAGGAUCAGGAAUUUUCCCUUCAAUUGGUUAUAUCAUACCUGCUGUUUUCAACCUCUCAAACAACUAAACCAAUGGUUCAGCUAUUUUGGUAUAGUUGCGAGUUGUUUUGAUUUCAUGAUUUGGAUGAGCUCUAAGUGCGGCAUAUGGUCGAUUUUGAAAAGUUGAAGCUUGGACUGCUUGGUAUAAAUGUGGUUUAUUGUAAAUAGGAACUCUAGGUUGAUAACAGUUCGCCUGGGUGUUGUAGACAUGAUAAAGAUUUGAUGGAGGAUGGUAGAGAGUAUGUGAGGCUUCACCAUAUUGGUAAGGGUAAAUGGGUUGAUGUUGUUGAUUUAGGUAGGGAAGAAGUUGACCUAGCCUGCGUCCUUGGUCAAUCAUGACAACAUAUACAUCUUCUUUCUUCUUUUUGUUCCCAUUGAUAGAACCAUAUUGAAUCACUUUGCUUGCAGCAUGCAAGGCUGUAAAGUCUUGGAUUCUUCCUAAUUUGAUUCUUUCUUCCAAGAUUUCUCCCAUUCUAAUGAUUUCUCUGAAUUUUGUCCCAUCAUGAUUAUCAUUUUAUCAUAGUAAAGGCUGUUAUCUUGAUAUUCAAUGAAGGUAGCAGUCAUUUCACUUUCACUUAUCGAUGGUUGGACUCUAGCUGCUUCUGACCUCCAACAUAGAGCAUACUCACAAAAUGUCUCAGUUGACUUCUUCUUCAACUUAGUCAGGUAGAACCUAUCUGGUGUGAUGUUGGUAUUGAACUUAAAUCGAUCCAUAAAGUCUUGUGCCAUAUCACUCCAACCACACCAUUUAUGGAGAUCUUGUUGUGUUUACCAAGCAAGAGCUUAACCAGAUAAACUUCUUAUGAACAACUUCAUUCUGACCCUCUCGUUUCUCCCCACUCCUACUAGUUUGUCACAAUAUGCCCUUAGAUGUGUAUGAGGGUCACCAAUUCCAUUGAAUAUAUCAAACUUUGGUGGUUUGUACCCUACAGGCAAAUCAAUGUCAGGUUACACACAGAUCCUCAUAUUCUAGGCUUUUGUUUCCCCUAGUAGUUUGGAGGUUUCUCAUUGCUUUCUUAAGAUUAUGAAUCUCUCUAGAUAACACAUCGUCAGCCUUUGCCUUGACAUCCUUCUCCAUUUCCUCAUACUGAUCUACCUCGGGUUGAAACUUGACCGAUAUUGGGUUGGUAAAGGCUUGAGUUUCCACCGCAUAUAUCGAAGGAAAAUAUUGCACAUAAAGAGUGGCAAUAUGUGCCCCUUGUAUAUGUUGAGCUAAAUAAGUUUGGACAAUGGGCGUAUUUUAGAUUGGAGGUGGUAGAUUCAAUGGGUUCACGGGAGUAAAUGUAGGCACUGGAUAGGUGUUAGUGGGUAGAGAAACGUAAGGAGUAUGAGAUGUAGGUUGAUUUUGUGGAUUGACGGGUGGUGGAUUAAGAGGAGUAGCAUAGGUAGUAUAAGUAGGUGGUUGACUUUGUGGAGGAAUGUGGAUGGGCGGCAAAUUUGGUGGAUUUGAGGGAGUAGUUAUAGGUAGGUUAUUGUUGGUAGGUGGAGGUUAUUGUGGAGGAAAGUGUUCAGGAAUUGGUGCAUCAAGUGAUGGAAAACGGGGUGGAUUUGGUGCAGUACUUCUAGGUUCAGGGAGUGGACUUUGGAGUGUGAUGGAUAAAUUGGUCAAGUCCCUAACCCGAGUUAGUUCACUACGUAGAUUCUCAAUCUCUUGAGUCAAGCGGGCGAUGUGUUCAUCAUGUUGAAUAGUAGUACUAUCUUUGGAAGUUUCGGGAGAGUCAUUAGGAACCAUGAUAUGUCCUGAACCAAUUGGAUCAAACGUUGUUGGAUUAGUCAUCGUGGUUUUCUUUCCUUGAAUAGCCCAACUACGCCGAGGUAAUGCCGAUGACUUGGACCUUGGGAAGUAAGGAUGGUCUGUCUGCUCGAUUGUCAACACGAAUCAACUUUGAUUGGGAAUAAAAUAAAGACAAAAGAUAGAAAGUAAAAUAUAAAUGAUGUUAGUUUCAAAUCAAAAAGUAAAGUCAUGUUCAAAUAAACUCAAAUAAGUCACAUAGCAAGCAAGUCAAAUAACAUACAAACAAGUCAUCAAGUAAAGUCAAAUAAGUUGUAAAAAUAACAAAGAAACAAAUCAUCAAAUAAAGUCAAAUAAAUUGUAAAAAUAACAUGUAAAUGCAUCAUAAUAUGCUUGUGACCUCUUUGUGCCAGAGGUAGGCCUAACGUAAAUUCAAGGAAUAUAUUUGCCAUAAUAUGUCAUUCCAUUGCUCUUGAUUAAUUAAACGAAUUUUAUUUGUCUAAAAAAGUACAAUAGGUGAAAUAUUUAUUACAUGUCGAAUGAAUACAACAUGAAGUACUUCCUAAAGUAAAAGAAAUUUUGUUAUGUCCGUCUUUCUUAGUUCCUUUUGGUGAUAUUAUCACUUCUUGUACUCCAAUGUCAAGUCUUCGUACCUGUCACAUAAAAGUUAGUCAUACCACCCCCUAAAGUUUAAUUAAUUAGAGCAAAUGGUCCAUAUUUAAGCAUGAAUAUUACUCAAAUAUGCACAUAAAUAAUGAUAGGUCGUCACUUGGGGUCGGAAACCCACUUGGACAUUUAAGGUAAAGUCAACUAAUGAACUUAAUACACCAAGGGUAUAAAGCCUCUUAGGUCAUGAAAUGAUGUAUGUUCCUUGUAAAGUGUGUUGGUUUAGCUCUACUCUAGGUAAACUAAGAGUGAGUUUACUAGACACAAGGUUCCCAAGUGGACUACUCGAGUGAGAAGGCUACGCGGUCAUACGGAAAAGAUCCGAACUCCCCUGCGCAUAUGCUAACUCUCCUAAAUUUUGAAAGAAAUUUUUGGGUGCGAAAAAUACACCUCGCGUAUACAUGUGAUAGUGUGAAUUUCCAAGAAGUGAAGAAAUAUGAACGGAAUGACAGUUUAGAAAAACAGUAACACAUAAAUAUUUUAUAGCAAACAAAUAAUUUAUAGCAUGUAAAAAAUAAUUUGUAGCUAAUGAAUAAUUUAUAUCCUGUGAAAAUAAUUCAAAGCAAACAAACAAUCAAUAGCAUGUAAAAAUAGCUUACGACAAAUAAUGUAAUUAAAGUAAGCACAUAAAAGCCUAAUAAAACUAAGUCUGUUAUGGUUAGAACCUAGUAAGUCUCCAGCAGAGUCGUCAUUUCUGUUAUGCCGUAAUUUUACUAUCUUUAGAAAAAUCAUUUUUUGAAAUGUUCUAAGUAUAAAACAAUUUGAGAAAAAAUACUUAGAAAAGAGUCACCACUUAAGAAAACUUAAUUUAAAAAGAUUUUAACAGAUUAAAUCUUUAUAAAUUUAGAGAAAAUGGGUAAGCGGUUCUUAUUUACGCUUCAAGAAGGUUUUUAAGGCAUUUGAAGCUCCCGCUAACACGCGGUUAUCCUACGACUUAGUUAGAAUAUAUUUUGACUAUUUUUUAAGAAAAUGGUUUACUAUGUAAAAAAAAAAUAUAUUAGAAUUUAUUUGACUCAUUUUUAAAAUAAUAAGUUGAGCCAAUUUAGUCGAUAAACCAAGAAAUCAUUUUAAUCUAAUUAAAUAUAAGUGAAAGUUUUGACUAAAAAAACAUUUGAAUAAGUAAAUAAAGAAUAAAGAGUUGAUGAAAUAAAAUUUAUUAAAAUAAACCUACACAAAGAAAAUAGUUCAUUUUUUGGAGAAUUCAACUAAGUUAAUUAAUGAUUUUAAAGUUGGAGUUAAUAAUAAUAAAAUAUGUGUAAAUUUCAUAUAUGACAUAUAUUAUAGUACUAUUUUCAAGCUAUAACAGUAGAUUUAGACUUUCAAGCUAUAACAUUAAAAAUUUCAGGUUAUAACAAGUUUAAAAAUAAAGAAAUGUUUUUAUUAAUUGGAAAAAACAUAAAAAAUAAAUAAAAAGAUAAACGAAAAUUUAAAAAAAAAAAUGGAAUUAGAAAUAAUAAAGUAAAAAACUGAAAAUUGUGGGCUGUAAUUUAAUUUGAAUUUAUUGUAGAUAAUUAAUGAUUAGCCGGAAAUAAGGGAUCCAAACUAAUUAAGAAUAUUCAGUUUCCUUAAUUCACUCUAAUUUGUUAAAAUUAAUUCAAAAAUCUGAUUUUAUCCAUUUUUCUUCCACGUUUCUCUCUCUUCAAUUUUCUUCCAGAAAUUUUGUCACUGGCGACUAAUUGAAGUUUUUUUAAUUAAUUCAAAAAUCUGAUUUUAAAAAUCAAUUUCCAUUUAUUUAAUAAAUGAUUAAUCUAUUUAUGAUUUUUUAUUAUUAAUUAAUAAUAUGUAAUUAAUAAGGAAAAAUGAAAAAAAAAUGGAAAUAGGGGUGUCAAUUAAAUUUGAAUUAAUUUAAGAUAAUUAUUAAUUAGCAUGAAUUAAGGAAUCUCAAACUAAUUAAGAAUAUUCAGUUUCCUUAAUUCACUCUAAUUUGUUAUGAUUAAUUCAAAAAUCUUAUUUUAUCCAUUUUUCUUCCACGUUUCUCUCCCUUCAAUUUUCUUCUAGAAAUUUUGUCACUGGCGACUAAUUGAAGUUUUUUUUUUGUUAGAAAAAUCCUUUUUUUUUUGUGAUGGACAACUACGUAUCAAUAUUAAUUAAACAUGGCGGAAGAUGGGAUCCUUCAGGUUAGUAUUUUUAAUUGUUUACUAUUUGUAUUUGGAUUUCAGUGAAAUGAAAAAAAAAAUGAAACUGUAAAUCACANNNNNNNNNNNNNNNNNNNNNNNNNNNNNNNNNNNNNNUUCGGGUUAGUAUUUAUUAUUGUUUAGUGUUUGUUUUUAAAUUACAUUGAAAUGGAAUUUUUUUUUAUUAAACUGUAAAUCGUCUCUAUGUUUAAGAUGAUAUCAUUACUUGUUAACUGUUGUGAAAUGUAUAAUAUUAGUGAUUUUCUGUUUUUGUGAUUGUUUUGUGUAUUUUUUUUUCUUAAAGUAUAAAGUAAUUGUAUAUCCAAAUAUUUAAUAGAAUUAUUGGAAAGAAAUUUGUAAGAAAAUGUGUUUCGUAAGAUGUAAAAAAAGUUAUUUGAAUUUUUGAUGAAUUGUAUAACAAGUGUUUUAAGUUGGUAUUAAAUUAUAAAUUUUAGUGUGUUAUAUUAGAUGUUGUCAUUUCUGAAGUAAUUAGUGAGUUAGAAAUGAAUUAUUUGGUACGAUAAGAUAUAGAUAUUUGUAAUGUAUGAUUAUUGUUGUAUGAAAUGUAUAUUAAGAAAGUAUGAAAUUUGUAUGAAAGCGUGUCCAGUAAUUUGAAAAAAACAAGUUAAUUUGAAAUUUGACGAAUUGUAUGAUAAGUGUUUUAAGGUUGUAUUAAUUUUGAAAUUUUAUUGUUGACAUUUUUGUAUAAAUUUGUGUGACAUUAAUGAAGUAUUUUCGUAAAAAAAAUGCACAUAUUUGUUGUAUGAAAUUUGUAUUAAAAUAGUAUGAAAGUUUUUGGAAUGUACUAUUUGAAUGAUAUUUGUAUGAAAUGUUUUUUGAUUGAAUAUAAAAAUUGUUUUGUAAUGUUCUGUCUGUCUGAAUGAUAUUUGUAUUUCGAAUUGUUUGUUUAUAAUGUGAGACUAAUUUAUAUAUUUUUUAAUGAAACAGGGAAUUAUGUNNNNNNNNNNNNNNNNNNNNNNNNNNNNNNNNNNNNNNNNNNNNNNNNNNNNNNNNNNNNNNNNNNNNNNNNNNNNNNNNNNNNNNNNNNNNNNNNNNNNNNNNNNNNNNNNNNNNNNNNNNNNNNNNNNNNNNNNNNNNNNNNNNNNNNNNNNNNNNNNNNNNNNNNNNNNNNNNNNNNNNNNNNNNNNNNNNNNNNNNNNNNNNNNNNNNNNNNNNNNNNNNNNNNNNNNNNNNNNNNNNNNNNNNNNNNNNNNNNNNNNNNNNNNNNNNNNNNNNNNNNNNNNNNNNNNNNNNNNNNNNNNNNNNNNNNNNNNNNNNNNNNNNNNNNNNNNNNNNNNNNNNNNNNNNNNNNNNNNNNNNNNNNNNNNNNNNNNNNNNNNNNNNNNNNNNNNNNNNNNNNNNNNNNNNNNNNNNNNNNNNNNNNNNNNNNNNNNNNNNNNNNNNNNNNNNNNNNNNNNNNNNNNNNNNNNNNNNNNNNNNNNNNNNNNNNNNNNNNNNNNNNNNNNNNNNNNNNNNNNNNNNNNNNNNNNNNNNNNNNNNNNNNNNNNNNNNNNNNNNNNNNNNNNNNNNNNNNNNNNNNNNNNNNNNNNNNNNNNNNNNNNNNNNNNNNNNNNNNNNNNNNNNNNNNNNNNNNNNNNNNNNNNNNNNNNNNNNNNNNNNNNNNNNNNNNNNNNNNNNNNNNNNNNNNNNNNNAUCAUCAAANNNNNNNNNNNNNNNNNNNNNNNNNNNNNNNNNNNNNNNNNNNNNNNNNNNNNNNNNNNNNNNNNNNNNNNNNNNNNNNNNNNNNNNNNNNNNNNNNNNNNNNNNNNNNNNNNNNNNNNNNNNNNNNNNNNNNNNNNNNNNNNNNNNNNNNNNNNNNNNNNNNNNNNNNNNNNNNNNNNNNNNNNNNNNNNNNNNNNNNNNNNNNNNNNNNNNNNNNNNNNNNNNNNNNNNNNNNNNNNNNNNNNNNNNNNNNNNNNNNNNNNNNNNNNNNNNNNNNNNNNNNNNNNNNNNNNNNNNNNNNNNNNNNNNNNNNNNNNNNNNNNNNNNNNNNNNNNNNNNNNNNNNNNNNNNNNNNNNNNNNNNNNNNNNNNNNNNNNNNNNNNNNNNNNNNNNNNNNNNNNNNNCUCAUGCCGCAAUUUGACUNNNNNNNNNNNNNNNNNNNNNNNNNNNNNNNNNNNNNNNNNNNNNNNNNNNNNNNNNNNNNNNNNNNNNNNNNNNNNNNNNNNNNNNNNNNNNNNNNNNNNNNNNNNNNNNNNNNNNNNNNNNNNNNNNNNNNNNNNNNNNNNNNNNNNNNNNNNNNNNNNNNNNNNNNNNNNNNNNNNNNNNNNNNNNNNNNNNNNNNNNNNNNNNNNNNNNNNNNNNNNNNNNNNNNNNNNNNNNNNNNNNNNNNNNNNNNNNNNNNNNNNNNNNNNNNNNNNNNNNNNNNNNNNNNNNNNNNNNNNNNNNNNNNNNNNNNNNNNNNNNNNNNNNNNNNNNNNNNNNNNNNNNNNNNNNNNNNNNNNNNNNNNNNNNNNNNNNNNNNNNNNNNNNNNNNNNNNNNNNNNNNNNNNNNNNNNNNNNNNNNNNNNNNNNNNNNNNNNNNNNNNNNNNNNNNNNNNNNNNNNNNNNNNNNNNNNNNNNNNNNNNNNNNNNNNNNNNNNNNNNNNNNNNNNNNNAAUGGAGAAAGUUUGAUAGUGGGUUGUGGGUUGAGUCGUGUGGGAGUGAAGAAACGUGUGGGAUGGUGGUGUGAUCAAUGAUUGGGGAUGGUAACGGUAAACAAGGAAAGGAAAUCCCUAAAAUUGGGUAACUGAAAAUUUUAGUUUUUUAAAAAAGGAAGUAAAAUAAAAUUAAUGAUCUAUUAUUAAAUUAAUAAUAAAAACUAUAAAUAGAUUAAUAAUUUAUUAAAUAAAUAUAAUUUAAUUUUAAAAUAAAAUAAAAUUUAACUGAUAUGUCAUAGCCCGUAAAUAAUCUGUUAUAAGCAAGAAAUUUUUAAAAGUAGAUUUAAAACCCGUAAUAUUUACUCUUAAAUGUGUAUAUGGGGUGAUUUUUUCAUAAAAAAUUAGUCAAACAUUAUCGAAGCAAAUAGAAGAGCAAAAGUGAUAAUGUAAUUGGGCCCUUUCUUGGGCCAAUUUCGCUGCAAAUUUUUGGGGCUUUAACCCAAUUUCCAUUUUGUAUACAUCGGUUGUAUAUCAAUGUAUAUCAGCAUGUAUAUCAGCUUUUUACAUGUAUCUCUUACUUCCGAACACCUGUAGUUUGCCUCAUCUCUGUAUUUUCGUAUUUUUGACCUGUUUAUCAGUCCCUGACCUUGUAUAUCAUGUAUACAAUUGAUGUAUACCAGUGUAUUUGAGUGUAUACAGCCCCACAUUUCCACUCACUUUACUUCUGCUUGCCCUGUAGUUUAGCCUCCUUUUCAUUCGAACAAGAUGAGGCUGACUCAAAUGAAUCAACUCGGAGAAAUGCAAGGAUGGAGUCCAAAAUAGACUCGGUGGAUGUCACUUUUUCCAGGCAACGAACGGAACGAACAAGCUUGAAGGAUCUUUCCACGACCACAAGUGUGAUUCCGACGAGGCAAAAAGAAAUUCAAAGAAAUAUAGAUCUAAUUUUUUGAGGUUAUAUCGAUAUUAUAUUCAUCAAUCUAAAAUUACGACUUUCAAAAUCCCCCCCUCCAAACACUGACUGGUCGAGAGUUUAUAUAGGGGAAAAGAAAAUCGUUUUGGGGGGAAAUCGGAUGGAAAGUAAGAACUCUCUAAAGGAUAAGGUUGACAACAGAUUUCUUGUACGAAUUUGAAUGGAGAAGCGUUGGGCUCGAGGACGUGAUUUGCGGCUAGAUUUCUGGGUUUGCAGCGCGAUUUGCUCGCUUUCUCACUGGGUUUCGCUGCUAGCUUGUGUUUGCUACGCGUGAAGAAGACGAGGUGGGGUCGGGGCGUUGCUGUUGGAGAAUUGGGUUGGGUUGUAUGUAUGCUGUAAUGUUGGAAUGGGUAUUGGAUUAUUAAUUGGAAUUGUAUUGCUGUAACUGUUGGGCUACUGGAGUUGAUUGAGAAAUAAGAGGGCCCAACACUUGGUCUUGAAUUGUAGCCAUUUAGAGUUAACAAUUUAGCCAAAUUGGAUUUAGUUGGUGAUUUGGCUAAAGAUUAAAAAAGAUGAAUUAACAUAAAUUAAUUAAUGAGCUUCUUAAUGUUAACGAAAUAAAAUAAUCGACUUAAUUAUAAACUAAUUAAUUAAAAAAUGCAAACUAUUAUAUAACUAAACUAAUUAGUAAAAUAUUUCAACAAAAUAAAAUAUUUUUUAAGAUGACUUUGGAAUAUUUAUAAAAUAUACUAAUUAUAUACAUAACUAUGUAAAACACAUAUAUAUUUUUAAAAUUAUAAAAAUCAUACAACUAUUUAAAAUAAGUUGAAAACUAUAUUUUUCUUUGAGAUUUUAUAAAACUAAUUAUUUUUAAUCGUUUGAAAUUGAAGAAGCUCAAUGAUUAAUAUAUACAAUGUGGAGGUCCAAAAUUGGGUGUCAACAUCUGGCACCCACAAUCAGCUUCUACGUGCCGUGGAACCUACAUGGCCUGUAUAUGAGCUCAUACAACACUACACCAGCAACUUCUUAAACUUUCAAAUUUACAAGUUACCUAUUACACUUUUGAGGUGUUACAUCUACCUUCUAAGGACUGGUGAAUCAAAUCUUCCAAAAACAUUUAAGGAAGUUCAUCUUGGUCUUUAUUAUGACAUUUUGGUCUUUAUAAGAACUUGGUUGAGCACCAGGUUCAUCUCAAUACCACAUUUGAAUUAUUGUUGCAACAUAAGUUGUAUGCUAAGAGAUCCAAAUGUGUGUUUGUUGUCAUCACUAUUUAAUAUUUAGUUCAUUACAUAUGUGCUUUGAGGGUGUCUACUAACCCCAAGAAGAUCCAAACAAUCCAGGAUAAUUACGAGGGUUUUGGGGUCUUGCAGGAUACUAUAGGAGGUUUAUUAGGUUUUCUCAGUAAACCACUUACUGAUUUUCUCAAGAAGGAUGGAUUAUAUUGGACAAAAUUGGCUACCACAACUUUUAUUAAACUAAAAUAUAUACUCACUUCUGCUCAUGUCCUAGCUUUACCCAAUUUUGACAUCACAUUUGUAGUUGAGACAUAUGUUUGUGAUGUGGGCAUAGGAGAAAUUUUGAUGCAACUUGGGCCCCCUAUUACUUACCUUAGUAGAGGUUUGUCUCUAAUACAUCAAGCUCUCUCUACGAUAGAUAACUUUUGGCUUUGGUGAUACUUACAAUCAAGUGGAAUCUUUGUGGUGAAAACUGAUCAGAAGGCACUCAAGUUCCUACUUGAACAACACUUAGACAUUGAUUCCUAACUAAAGUGGAUCACAAAGCUCAUGGAAUUUAACUUUAUGAUUGAAUAUAAGAAAGGGAAAGAGAAUAAGACGGUUAGCUUGCCUUGACAUUGUCUAAUGUUAGGACCAACUUGCUACAGUCAAGAAUUGAUAGUUGGGAAGUUGAUUGUAAGCACAAGUUAGUGAUUCAACAACUUUAUAUAGUGAGUUUAAACAAGUCAUAUAAUCAUAUAAGAGUGCACAUAAAUUGAAGAUAACGAUCAAAGAUGUAUGAGGAUGAGUUGUGAUUGAACAAAUGAAAUCCUCACAAAAUAUACUUGUGCUUUAGUAAACAUUAUUUUGAGGAUGUUAAUUAUAUAACCACUAUCCAUCCUCAUUCCCAAUUACGUGGACUCUUAUAUGAUCAUACGGUUUGUUUAAGCUCAUUAAGCUAUGUAAAAUUUUAAUAAUUUAUUUUUUUAUUAAUUAAUUGUUUUUUUGACAAUAUGCUAGUAAGAGCUAUAAACUCAUACAAUAUAUUAUUGAUAAAAUGUGUAGUUUAGAUAUACAGUGAAUUCAGUUGAUGGUCCUCAAUAUAAUAUAAUUUAUGUGUAGUUAUUUACUUUUUUGCUAUAUACUAAUAUUUUGUUUAUCAUUGCACCAACCAACAUAUACCUUACAAAUGACGGAGUAUCAAUCUAUACGAUCCAUCAUAUACUAGCCACAUGAGAAAUACUUUAUUAUAUUUAUUAUGUACAAUACUAACAAACUUUAAAUAUCCACUUUUGCAACGAUAGUAGAGUACAACUCAAAUUGCACCCAAUCGUAAUAUUUGACUUUUUUUAGAUAAAAAAUAAGGUAAUCUUUGUUUUACAUUUCAAACAUUCAAUGCAAAAAGAUUAUUGCUCCAUCUAAGUAAAUGAGGAAUGUAAUGCUUUCCGUUAUGUUGUCGCUCCAUCUAAGUAAACGAGGAAUGUGCAAACCAGUCUCUAAAGACUGUUCGGCGUAUUUUGCAAGAUGAGGAAAAGUCUCAUAUAUCCAACCCUGCAAUCAAUGGAAGAUAUAUAUAAAUUUAUAGAGUCUAUGUAUUAGUGCAUUAACAUAUAAGAGUCUACAAUAAAUCGAUAAGAUGAUAGAUAAUAAGUACCAAAAAUGCCUAGAAAAAUUCAUAUAAAGCGUACAAUGCAUUAUUCUUCUUAUUAAAAGUUUUUUUCCUAUUUGUUCAAAUCAAUCUUCUUCUUCAAACAACUCUAUGCUAGCCCAAACGUCUCUUUUCCUAAUGGAUAAUUCUUGAAGAAAUUUUAACCAAAUACUAUUUUGAUUUGGUUUGAAUCCACUUUCUUUGUCGAAUCCCUUGUUAGCAGCACUGAGUGCACGAACCAAACUAAAAAGCAUUUCAACUUUUGCUCCUUUCUCAAUUAAUUAAAUUUGAUCAAGCUUUUCAGCCUUUCAAUAUGGAUGUUAUUGUUCUUGGUCACCUUGAAAUAAAAAAAUUUACAAUAUUGAAGGACCUUGCUCAUUUUUUAUUCACGGAGUAUGCUUACAAUUCAACCUCGUAAUCAAAGCAAAUUUCUUUAAGACAAGUUGGCUUAUCGUUCACACAGAACCAAAUAUCAUGCAACUUUUUUAUUCUUCGCACAUCACAACAACAUAUAACAUAUAAUUUAUUUAUUGUAUUUAAAAUGCUUCGGCAAAUGUCUCAAGUGUUCAAAACAUAUUUUACUUGAAAUCAGCAUAGAGCUUUUGAUUAAUCAGAAUUUUUCUAAAGUGAUCAGGAUAAACCACCAUCCUUACUCUCACAAAUUUUUUUCUAAAAGUGGUCAACUUUUUCAGCUUUACGUUUCUUACUGUUGCAAGCAAUUCUUUAAUGAUUUUCUAUCUUUAGCCAUACUUUACAAUCUAUAAGGAAAAACAAAUUUGUAGUGAUCAAUCCACUGGUCUAUUAACUGAAACAGAAAAGUACUCUAUCAAACAUGCAUAACAAGUUGCAGUAAUUCUAGAAAGGAAGAAUGCAAAAGAUAGCAAUCAAAACACCAUUAAUAUCUACUAAAACAAAGAAAAAAAAUUCAAAAUUGAUAUACAAUAUAAACAUAAAAGUUCAAAAAAAUUCUAAUCUUUAUCCAAAGCAAAACGCAAUUAACGAUGCAGAAUCAAAAAAUGUGAACUCAAAACAUAUCAAAUUUUAACAAAUUUAAUCAAGAACAAUUGAAUUUUUGUGAAAAUUCAAAAUCCACUAAACUAAAAUGAAACAAAAAAAAAUAGUAAAAUGGAGCAAAAACUGUUCGGGAAAGAAAAAUGAACUUAUUUGAGCACAAGAAGUUGAAUGUUUCGACUUGGGAAAGAAAAUUGGAGAAAAAAAUAUUUCAACUCUUUGAGGUACUCAAGAGGGAAGAAGAGAGGUUGAGAAGACAGAGGAAAGUUAUUGAAUAAUUAAAUGAAUUUUAAAAAAGGUAGAAUAUGUAUAAUAAAUACAAAAGGGACUUGAUUAUAUUUUUAUAAACUUCUAUUUUAAACCCAAAAUUUUAAAAAUGUUAAAAUGGUCCAUGACCCCACAACCCUACCCCACCUUUUCCCACCUUUUCACCUUUUCAUAACCUAACCCUAAAAAAUAAAACAAAAAGAAAUUUAAUGACUAUUUAUCAAAAUAAGUUUUGGUAGUGUCUCCAUUGCCAAUUAAUCUCUAGUUACAUCAACCAACAACGUAGAUGGCAUGUGAUGUUGUUGGAAGGUUCUGAUGCACCUUUGAGGGUUGAGAUACUUUAAGUUGUGGAAUAGUUCUACCAAGGGAGGUCACUCUAACUCAAGUAUACACAAGCAUCACAAUUGAAAAAUUGCUUAAACAAUUUUCUGAACUCAACUAUUUAAAAAUACUGAGUAUGAAAUAUAAAGUUUUAAGUAAAAGAUCUUAAAUUGAAUACUGAAAGACUACCCAAAAUUGUCUAUCUAUGAAGUCUCUAUUGUUUAAAGAAAGAUGUUGAGACAAGACUCACGACACCGCAAAAUGCUACUACUAACAAAUCAUAAGAAUGGAGUUCUGAAUAUAAGGAGGCCUCACCAAAGGCUGGCAAGCGGAUGAUGAGAUCUUAGUGAAACUAUUGUUGAUGAUCCUAAGUACCUGAAUUUGCAUCAUGGAAUGAUGCAUAUCAAAUUACAUAAAUAAAUAUAAUGUCCACGUAUGUAAUAGGGCUGAAUAAAAUAAAUAAUUAAGUUAAGAGACAGAAAGCAACUCAUCUAAAGUAUAGUAUAAAUCAUGAUGAAAAUUAUUUAAACUCUUUCUUUAAGGAUGCAAUAAAAGUAAAUAUUGAGCAUCGUGAUGAUACAACGUCUCACAUACAUUGCCAGAACUUCCCUAUACUUUGCCAGAGUAUAGAAUAUUACUUAAGUAAUAAAUUCAUAUAAAAAGCCUUCUUGAGACCGUUAAGAAGUCGCCCGAAGUACGGUGUGAUCCUAUCCCACAUUGGCUACAUGCUUCAUGGAGUUAAGAUUUAUCUGGAGGCUCACCCAAAUCAGUGCUCAAUACUACUCUAAAAAAAUUAACACCCCGCAACUAGAAAGAGCUAGAAUUAGAAAGAGUCAUUUUUGGAGAGAAUGAAAAUCAGGAAAUUUGACAAAAUUAAGUUAAGUAUGAGUUUUAGGUAAACUUCAAACAAUCAUAAUUCCUAGCUCAGGAUGAUUUAGGUCUGCUACAAGUAACCGUAGGAAAUAUAUUUGAAUUAUCUUUCCAACGCAGCCAAGUUUGCUCAGUUUCGAGUUCGUAUGAGUGAGAUAUGCCCAUUUGAAGUUGGGCUAACUAGAUAAGGAAAGUCAAAACCAGAUUUGAGAAGGGCAUUAUAGUCUUUUCACCACCCAAUUAAUUAAUUUCAUUUUUGGUAAUUAAGUUGGGGUCUAAACUGAUUGGAUUCAGUUUACGCUUUUGAAAAACAAGUUAGGGUUUAGAGAGAAGAGAAAAGAGGAGAAGAAGUAAGGAAUCACCAAGUUCUUGAAGAAUUGCUUGUGGAUUUCGUCAAGGGGUGAUCCCUACGAGGUAUAUGAGAUCACAUAGCGUUGGGUUAGUUUACCCACGCUACAAUCAUGAUUUAUUUCAGCGAAUUUAGAUUCUUGAAGGUUUAGAAAUUGAGUUCUUGAUGGAUUUGUUUGAAGUUCUAUUCGGUUCUUGAUUUUAGGAGUUGUUGAGAUGUUCUUGAUUUUGAUUCAUGAAAUUAGGUGUCGUUUUGAGUAGAUUCUUGCAUAUUUUGAUUAUGUAGUCGAAUCUAAGUGUUUGGGAAAUGACCCAAUUGAGUUUAGAGGGUUUAGAGUUGAAAAACGAGCAAGAAAAAUCAUCAAACACAUGGGCAGAGGGGUGGGGCGCCGCGCCACUCAGAGUUAACCCUGGGGCGCCGCACCAGCCAGCGCACCCCAACUUCAGUUCUGAAGUUUUGGAUCUGGCUCUCCGCGCCACUCAGAGCGCCAGGUCUUUUACUUCUCCCCACUUCUUUCCGUACUAGUUUCCUUGUAACGUACCUAUGUUUUCUAGUUGAUUUUUAUACUCUAAGGUAUAUCUAAACAACAUGAAAUAUCCAUAACAUGAGAUCAUGGGCCUUGAAUCCAUAAUUCAAUUCAAGGAAAGUUAAGAGUCAAGUCAAGAGAAGUUCAUAGAGUCUUCCAAAAGUCUUUUACAAAUGUUUUAACUUGUUUUAAGACUUGAGUUUUUGAGUUGAGUAAAGAGUAAAGAAUGAAGUUCAUUUCUUCAAAGAGUAUAUGGGGACUAUGUAUUCCCAAAGAGUUUAAACUGUUUUCACAUUUAAAUAAGAAAGAAAACUGAGAUUUCCAAAGAGCGUUUGAGCUAGUUUUCAGAAAAGAGUAAAUGCUUUCACAAUUAAGCAAGAGAGGAAACUUUGAUUUCCAAGAGAGCCUUUGANNNNAAAUUAUCUCAAACCACAGAAAGAAGUAUGUUUUUAAACAUAAGAGUUAGUAUUAUAUUUUAGGAGUAGUAUUGAGCAACGAUAUGUGAUGUUUGCGUAAUCAAGACACAACUUCCAAUUCGAGUGUCUACGAUCGUACAAUAGUAAAGUAACCCAACCANNNNNNNNNNNNNNNNNNNNNNNNNNNNNNNNNNNNNNNNNNNNNNNNNNNNNNNNNNNNNNNNNNNNNNNNNNNNNNNNNNNNNNNNNNNNNNNNNNNNNNNNNAGUAUAAACAUACUAAAUCUAAAAGGGGGGGGGGGACGUAAGCGUCAAUUAUCAAUGUGGGUUUACGUAUUAAUUAACAACUACAAACAACGAAAAUAUACGAAAACUAGAUAGAGAGAUGGGAUUCUUGGGAUGUGAUAGGAAUAUAGGAUAAACUAAACUAUCGGGUACAUGCUUUUGAUAGUAAAUUAUUGAGUAUUUGUGACUAUGCUAGACUAUAGUGGGGGUAAAUUCUCUCUCGAGCAACUUACCCCCAAUCGACUCGGUUUCUCUUGAACACCGAGUUGUCGCUUUAAGCACAGCCUCCGCCUUAGCCCAUUCACUCUCUCGAGCUGAAUGUGUGGGAGAAGGACUAGGAUUCACUAUCUCGAGUUGAACCCAUGUCGACCCAAUACCACCGACUAUCAAUUUAGUAGUCUUAGUUUUACGACCUCUCUCUCGAGCAAGCCGAAAACACUAAGAUGAAAUCGUAUUUGCAACUACAACUCCAUUAAGUUCAUACACAACUACAAAACGAAAUCAGAUUUAAACAACAAAUAAAUCAUCAACAAGCAAGACCCAACAGAUAAUCUAACCCAUAUUCACAAAAUCACACCCCAAGAAUUGGGGUUUUAGCUAAACAUGUAAAAGAGAUAAAAAUUUAUACCAAUAUCAGUUUCCAUCAACCGGGUAUGAAGGAUUAAGUCGUAAAACAUGUCAAGAGUGAAGAAUCUUAGAGACCCAAGUCCAAUUUCUUGGAGUUGAAACCCUUUGAAUCUUCAAGGUCUUAGAACAAAGUCUUCAAAACCCUCUAAAACUUACACUCUCUAAAAAACUGUAAAAGGUUCUCAGAAUAAUAGUGAUAUGAUACUAAGAUAGAAAUUUAAACAAGUAUUUAUAGUGUUUGAAAAUGUGCUGCGAAGGACCCUUCGGCGAAUAUAGUCGGGAUCACCGAUACAUUCGGCGAUCCGCCGUUUGGUUGAUUUCAUCGCCUUCCUACUUUAGCCUUUAGCCUUUAGCCUUUUCGCAUUUUGAGUCGUUGGGCGAUUCGGUACUGCUUCGCGGAACUGUUCGACGACACGCCGACUACUCCAUUGCAUCGCCAACUUGACUUUUUCCUUCAGGGCUCAGCGCACUGGAACAAAGGCGAUCUCCAGGCCGAUCGACGACUCGCCAACUGGGCUCGGCGUAUCUUCAGGCCUUCAUUUCUUCGUUCUUUACAGCCGCCUUGUUCCUUCUUGCCAAGUAGUGUCCAUGCUUUGCCUCAAACUCUAAAUACUUGAAACUUAAGGAUUUUCAUCAGAUAUUGAGAUAAAAUAUGCAUUUGAGGACACUAAUUCUAUCAAAAUAUAGCCCUAAAUGAGUCCAAAUUGUGGACUCAUCAAUACCCUCAACUUAAACUUUUGCUUGUCCUCAAGCAACUCGAGUUCAACUUGUUUAAAAAGGGUGUCUCAAAUAGUGCUACACAAGAAUCAAUCAUGAAUGCAUACAACAAGACUCACUUUAUGCAAAGAUCAAUUGUGCACUCAAAGAUUCAAGUUGUGACUCACUAAUAUCGAAGAAUCUCAUGCUCACAAUACUUGCUUGAAGUGCAAGUCCAAGCUCAACCAAAGUGUUCAAAUGCCCUGACGCAAAGAAUGAUUCCAUAUUCACACAAUGGUUCAUAGUUUAAAGUUUCGGAAUCAAAUGCAACGCUCACACUCACAAAGAAUGAACACAAUGCAUAAUUUCACCCAUAGGUUUUCCCGUAUUUUCCAAUCAACACUUGCUUCAGCUCACUCAAGAUCACAAAGGUCUUUCAAGGCUUGUAAUGGGGCUGAGUGCAAAUGUAUGGCCAUUUAGGCUCAGUGGCUAUAGUCCUCAUGAGACAAAUAUUGAAUAGCACUCCCUUUCAUCUUCUUUCAUCAUUUUCAUUUAUGCUCAAAAGUAUUCCUAUUAUUCACUUCCCAUGGAUAGUUGGAAACCCCAAUUUUCUUUAUACUUUCAUAACUUUAUUCCAUAACUUUUUCAUUUUUUUUUGUAUGGAGGGGUUCCAUUUUUCACAAAAUCAUGGUAGAAGGGACUUUCUUGUAUUUCUUGAUUUGCCUUCUCUUUUCACCACACCAUUUGGCCUAAGUUGGCUAUUCAAACAAACCACAACUUCAUGAGGAUUAUGGGUUAUGGUUAAAGAAAGGUAAUUGUUUUCAUCAAGUUUCUUUCAAAGAAAGAUAAGGCUCAAGGGGUGUUCAAAAGAGGUUCACACACACUCACAAGGUAGGCCACAAAAGAGGUAUGUGUCAAAUUGACUCACACUCUUAGAAGUUGCCUAAUAUCAUAUCAAAAGAUAGCCUUACUUAGUUGACCAGACCAACGGGGUAAAUUCUAGGUGUUGUCAUGCAUGGUUCAUAGUAAGCUCAUCACACAAGGCAUCGACACUAAAGUCAAACAAGACUUCACACUUCCGCUAGUGUGCAACGAUCAUCACAAAAGACUUGAUUUAAUAAUUGGCUAGUCACAACAAGAUGCAAAAAGUCAACAUAUUGUCUAUGCAACUUCAUUUGGCCUCAUCAUAGCCGCACAUUCAUAUUUAUUUGAUUAUGAGCACUAUUUAAGUCAUCGGUAUUGAUCAAAAUUGUUACUCAAAUUUGCGAAAGAACAACCACAUUCAACAUAUACAAGAGGUGGCGAAUUUUUUUUCGGAAGGGUCAAAAUCAUUUGGAAUUUAAAGCAAAAGAAUCCACAAGCUCAACCUUCCACGAAAGCAGUAUUAACACAAUUAUAGAUUACAACGCAAAUACAUAAACAAAACAUAAUUCACGAAUAGCACACAAAGGUGGGCCACACCCCACCACAAUUAAAAAUAAUUUGUCCUCAAAUGCAAAUAAUAAAAUAUCCAAAAUGUAAAUUAAAGAAGGACAGAGAAGGAGGUAAAGAGGGGAUCCUGUCUAAGUGGUCGGUCCGUCUGUCUGGGCAUCAGUGCCUGAUGUGUCAGCAUGGACUUGGAUAAUAGUCCUCAGAGCAACUUCAGAAGGUUCAGCGACAACUGACUUUCUAAAAUUGUCCAAGUCAUGAGCCGCCAAAAAGGAAUGUAUAGCUAUGUAGAAUCCACGAGUCCACGAAGGGACAGUGGGAUCUCGGGGGACAGAUCUCUUGCUAGAACUAGGCUUUUUGCCCUCACUUCCCGUCUUGGGAGGAUUCGCUUCAUUUGCAUCUUUCCUAAAAAAUUUCGCUCUUAUCUGCCGAGGUGGCAUGAUUCUCCCUGCAACUUUAGGUCAAGCUAUGUCUGCAAAUCUUCGAGGCAAAGUUAGAAAAUAUUCGACAAACAAAACAAGGACAAUUAGCUGCAGGCAGACUUGCCAAUCCUUUCGGCGAGCAAGAGGUUGCCCGCCGAAGGUUUCAGUGCAGUGGGGGUUCAAGGGGUGCAGACAAAGGGCGAACAAGUAGGCUUUCAGUGAUUCGCCGAGUGCUUUUGGCGAACUCAUGCUUCUCGCCGAAAGGUUCAGAAACCAACAAAACAUAUAACGUGAACUUAAAGGCGAGAUGAGGUCAUUAGGCGAGCCGCAGAGUGGUUUGGCGAGCUCGACCUAGCUUGCCAAACGGCCCAACGUUCCUUCAUGCAACCCACUUUCUCAAAUUCAACCCCGCAACCCCCCGAAAACAAAAUCAAGCCAUGCACAACUCAAAUUAGGUUUAGACCCAAUGACACUCAUGAACAACCCACGAUUUUUCAUUUCCUUCAAUGUACAAUUUUCAGGAAUUGACUAUUUAACUCGAUACGGGCAAAAUUAGUGAAUCUAACAGGCAAACAAUUUUUUUUAAUCCUACCAGAGAGGUCCAACACAUAUCAACAAGGUAAUAUCAUUGCAUUGAGUACAAAAUCGAUAGAAAGAACUCAGAGUUUGGGAACCAACCUUUCGUGCUAACUAAAAUGGAAUUGAAUCGCUAGGCAGGAAUGUAAUCCAAGUUCCGAGCACACAUCAACAACUAAAAAUACCUCAAAAAUGCAAGAAAUAUAAAAACUAGAGUGCAGGUGUGAGUUUGGGAAGAUGGAAAGGUAAGGGAAAGGGAAUGAAUUUUGAAACAUUUAAACCUUUGGCCUGAAAAACCGUCCAGUUUUCGCCCAUUUAGCGACAUUAGUCAGAAUAGCCAAACCACUCGACAUUUCGCCAAGUAGCCACUUGCCUCGCCAAAUUUUACAGAAGUUCCAGUUAUUUUGAGAGUCCAAACGACGGUCUCCAUUGGGAUCGUCGACAUGGUCGGCGAUUCGCUAAUAAUUUCCUAAGCUCGCCGAGUUUUACAGACUCCAAUGUUGGUUGGUCUUGAGUCUCACGGCGGUCUAGUUCGGGGUCGUCGAACCGUUCGGCGAUUCGCUGAAUGGACCUGUUACUUGCCAAUCUCUACUUUUCAUUCACUCUCCACGCUUUCAUCUGCACAAUCAACACACCAUUAUUUUAUCAAAGCAACAUAAAGCAAUAAAGAGUUUUGGAUUGCCUCCCAAACAACGCAUUAGCUAACGUCGUGGCACGAUGGAAAUCCACCUUCAAACCUCAUUUUUGGGGUUAACCAUAGUGUCACUAGACAAACCCCUUUUUUGUCUCGAAUUUAGGUGAGACGACAUCUGACCCAUUUGGAUCUCCAACUGCUUGAUUGAUACUGAAUGGGAGGUGACGGUCUAGCUCAGGGUCGACACAUCUUCCUUAAUUUAUUUCAAGAUCUUGUCCGACCCCUCAACUUUGUUGAGGAUAUGAGAAAGCAUAUCCUCAGACCGACCACCUUUCGAAUCCUUUGACUUUUGGUGCUUAUGGAGAGGCAUAUACUUGUCUUUCUCCCCAUCCUUUCAGUUAGGAUUUUGGUCCCUCCAUUCUCUGUCGCGAUCCUUUCAACCAUCUUCUCUAGCCCAACCCUAGUUACCACCCUGCCUCAGGGUAGUUUGAACGAUAACCACACCCUUGGUUGGCUAGAAAAUUUACCCCAUCAUUAUACAAGGCUUCAAACUUCGUCUCCUCAGGAUUUACACACCCGACCCCAACAACAUUGACACUACGGGCACCAGCCCCCAUGACAUUUUUGGAUAAAAUGUCAAGCUAUGUCAUGAUAUUGGCCAUGUUUUGGUCUCUCUCAUGAUCCUUUUCCAUCUGCUCCUUGGAUAGCUUGAAUGUGAGAGGGGAGACCUGGUUCUCGCGGGUGUACCACGAUCUGUUGAUGGUUGUCAUGCCAUUUAGAGGUUGGGCUGCUAUUGCAUACGGUUGCUGUAUCAAGACUCCAGGUGAAAGUUGGUCAGCCACACUUUUGUUUAUCGAGUCCAAACUCCGGUAAAAGUACUGUAGCAGCACAUUAUCCGGCAAACCAUGGGUUGGGCAUUGAAGCACCAACUUUUUGAACCGCAGCCAAGUUUCGUGCAAAGGCUCUCCUUCUAGACACUUAAAGAUUUGGAUACUGUCCCGAAGAGUCAUCAUCUUCGAGGGAGGGAAAAAUCGCACAUUAAAUGUGGUGACCAACUCCUCCCAAGAAGUGAUAGAUUCACAUGGCAAUUCCGCCAGCCAUUUGCACGUUUCUCUCAUCAACGAGAAAGGGAAUAACCUUAACCGGACUGACUCCUGAGAUAUGUUUUUGAAAGAGAAUGGUUUGCACACAUCUACGAAGUUUCGAAUAUGCUCGUGAGGAUCCUCAUGCGCCAAUCCACAGAAAAGUCCUUUUAGUUGCAACAUAGUGCUCGUUAUAUGGAACACUGCAUUUCCUUCGGUUGGAGGUAAACGGAUGGCCCCAAUACCUACCAUGAGAUGGGGGUCAUUAAUGUUGGGCUCUUGGACAUCGUUGAGAUUUCUGAUGUCGUCUUGGUGGCACACCUGGCUGCCAUUGGUGCCAUUAACACUCAUGCUUCAUGAAAUAUUUACACAAACCAACGAAACAAAACUACAAAUUAAGUAAGUAGAACUACAACUAAGAAGAACAAAAAAAUAAUUUACUUAACUACAAAUUCUCAAUUAACACCACUCCCCGGUAGCGAUGCCAUUUUUGAUGUUUGCGUAAUCAAGACACAACUUCCAAUUCGAGUGUCUACGAUCUUACAAUAGUAAAGUAACAGAACCAAGGGUUGGGAUCGAGUCCCAAUGGAGUGGUUUUGAGAAUUUAUAGAAAAAUAAAAUUUAGUUCUAAUUAGUCAUAGCUAUAGACAUUAUCGAAUAUAAACAUACUAAAUCUAAAAGGGGUGACGUAAGCGUCAAUUAUCAAUGGGGGGUUUUGUAUUAAUUAACAACUACAAAUAGCGAAAAUAUACGAAAACUAAAUAGAAAGAUGGGAUUAUUGGGAUGUGAUAGGAAUACGAGAUAAACUAAAUUGUCGGGUACAUGCUUUUGAUAGUAAAAUUGUUGAGUAUUUGUGACUAGGCUAGACUAUAGUGGGGGUAAAUUCUCUCUCGAGCAACUUACCCUGAAUCUCCUCAAUUUCUCUGAAACACCGAGUUGCCACUUUAAGCACAGCCUCCGCCUUAGCCCAUUCACUCUCUCGAGCUGAAUGUGUGGGAGAAGGACUAGGAUUUACUCUCUCAAGCUGAAUGCAUGUCGACCCAAUACCACCGGCUAUCAAUUUAGUAGUCUUAGUUUUACGACCUCUCUCUCGAGCAAGCUGAAAACACUAAGAUGAAAUCGUAUUUGCAACUACAACUCCAUUAAGUUCAUACACAACUACUAAAAUAAAUAAGAUUUAAACAACAAAUAAACCAUCAACAAGCAAGACCCAACAGAUAAUCUAACCCAUAUUCACAAAAGCACACCCUAAGAAUUGGGGUUUUAGCUAGACAUGUAAAUGAGAUAAAAAUUUAUACCAAUAUCAAUUUCCAUCAACUGGGUAUGAAGGAUUAAGUCUUAAAACACAUCAAGAGUUAAGAAUCUUCGAGACCCAAGUCCAAUUCUUGGAGUUGAAACCCUUUGAAUCUUCAAGGUCUUAGAACAAAGUCUUCAAAACCCUCUAAAACUUAAACUCUCUAAAAAAUUGUAAAAAGUUCUCAGAAUAAUAGUGAUAUGAUACUAAGAUAGAAAUUUAAACAAGUAUUUAUAGUGAUUGAAAAUAUGCUGCGAAGGACCCUUCGGCGAAGUUAGUCGGGAUCGCCGAUACAUUGGGCGAUCCGCCGUUUGGUUGAUUUCAUCGCCUUCCUACUUUAGCCUUUAGCCUUUUCGCAUUUUGAGUCGUUGGGCGAUACAGUACUGCUUCGCGGAACUGUUCGACGACACAUUGACUGCUCCAUUGCAUCGCCAACUUGUCAUUUUCCUUCAAGGCUCAGCGCACUGGAACAAAAGGCGAUCUCCAGGCCGAUAGGCGACUCGCCAACUGAGCUCGGCGAUCUUCAGGACUUUAUUUCUUCGUUCUUUUCAGCCGCCUUGUUCCUUCUUGCCAAGUAGUGUUCAUGCUUUGCCUCAAACUCUAAAUACCUUAAACUUAAAGGAUUUUUAUCAGAUAUUGAGACAAAAUAUGCAUUUGAUGACACAAAUUCUAUCAAAAUAUAGCCCUAAAUGAGUCCAAAUUGUGGACUCAUCAAUAUGGGGGAGAGUUUAGACAAUUCCUAGCCCCCAUAAACUAUGUAGCCACCGUGGGUAGAAAAGCGUCAUACUUUUUAGAUGAUUUCUUAGUGCUUUUUAGCAUAGACUAGUGGAUCCACUUAGUAGUUAGGUUUUAUACCCUCGACAAGGUAUAGGACGCCCCUGGCAGCGUAAGGCAAAAAGUUGUAUUGUAUCUUUGCAUACACACAAAGUAUUAUUGUAUUUCUAAAUACACAGAGUUGAUAUCCAUGAUUUAAAAGCUUUUCUUUAUUUUGCAUUUAUGUUAUUGCUUUAUAUUGAAAUGAGCUCAGUUGAGUUGAGUUAAGACCAGGUUUGUCCUUUCAGUUCCUUUCAAGCUUAUGUCUUGUUUUAGAAUUCCCCUCGCAUACUCAUACAUUCAGUGUACUGAUGUCAUUUGGACUGUAUCUUUUAAUGAUGCAGAUACAUGUAACCAGGAUCAGCAUCCAGCGCAUCGUUGAUUCUAGUUGAGCUCCAACGUUUGUUGGUGAACCUCCUUGCUUCUGGAGGAUCCUUUUUAUUGCUUUUUUUAGUAUUUAGUUCAUUAGGAUGUCGUGGGUCUUGUCCCAAAAUCUAUCUCAGUUAUUAGAGGCUUCAUAUAUAGACAUUUAGUUAGUUCAUUUGUCAUUAUCCUGUUAUUGGCUUAUGUUCAAAUUUGAUCAGUUGCCACUUUGGCUAAGUUAAAUGUUUAUUUCUAAAACAUUAUGAGUUUAGUUUGAGACUGUUGAGUUAUCUUGCAUUUGAAUUCUCUUCUUAAUACUUAAAGUAUUCCACUGAGUAAGUCAGGCCAAAGGUUCGCUUGGGGUCAGCAAUGGUUCUCGAGUGUCAGUCUCGCCCAGGGUGUAGGCUCGGUGAGUGACAAUAAUCUCGAUAACAGUGAAUUUGGAACUUAGAAUAAGAAAAGAAAGUACAAAUUAGAAUCAUAGAACUUAGGGUGCAACCAUAGAAUAUACUCUUAUUGACUGAAUUGGAUGUAGGGCGUGAUGACGAACUUAGUCCAGCACUAUGAAUAGUCUUACAUAAAUGAAAGAACAAUGUUCUUGGAGAAAUUUGAAAAAAAUCUUGGAAGAUGAAGUGUGGAGUAGAGUCUUGGAUUGAAAACAUCAGGUAUCUUGAAGAGAAUCUUAAACUCGGAGUCUUUAGAUCUUGCGAAAUUGGAGAAAUUUUUGUUUUGUUGUUGGAAUUUUUGAUCUUUAGAAAAAAAGAAUUAGAGAUUUUGAGAGUUACAAUAUGUAUGAUGAUGCUAUUAUGUUGUAAGAUGGAUUGAGGGAAGUUAUUGAGGGUAAAAGUUCAAGAAUACCCUUUUAGGAACAUAAGAAGACCAUAAAAAUAAAAGAAGAUGACUUUUUAUUAAUGAAUACCAUCGGCCAAAUCGGCAAUCUGAAGGUCCCAUCACCGAAAUAUUUAGUGGAUCACCAAAAGGGGCUUUAGAUCACCAAAAUAUCCAGAGAUUAAAGGUUUUCAAGACAUUUCAACGAGGUAAUUUAGUGAUUUGUCAAAUGAGCAGGUGUCCUUGCCGAAUUUUCUCAGCCCGAAUAUGUUUUAGUGAAACAACUAUAACUUUUUACUCCAAUCUUUAAUAGAUGCAAAAUUGAUGGAAUUGGAAAGAAAAUUCAUACAACUUUAAUUUGAUAUGUUAUAGGUCACCUAACAUAUUAUAUGUUGAGAGAUAUGAUCGUUUGAAGGUGAUCUUAAUAUGAACUCAUGCGAGAACUUAGCCAUUAGAAAUGCUUUGAACUUGACUUGGUUUUUGAGGUCCCUUAUGACCCUAGAUCACUUUCGAUACCCUUGAUACACUUGGUAAAUGACCUUAAAACACACGACCAAGUAGGACAUCAUCAUAUUCAAACUCAUAUACUUACGACCAGAGGCAGAUCUAGAAUUUGGAGGUCCUGGGUGCCACAUUGUUCAAGUAAGAUAAGCGGGUCGGUUGCUUUAAUUUUGGGUUACAAUUCGAGUUUUUUUUUUAUUUCUAUAAAUAAAUUGAUCAAACAUGCAUGUUAGUAAUAUUUUCUUUUAGAUAGUAUGCCAUUAGAGAUAACUAAACAAUCCAAUUUUUAUUUCUUUUUAGGAAUUAGUGACCUAUUCACUGAAUCUUUGAGGAAAAAAGAGUUUUUCACACUAAAAUUUGAGCUUGUAUAAACUACCUAAUAGUGUUAACUUAAUAUAUUCAUAUUUCAUUGACUUUAUGUGUUGUUGCAAAUAUAUAACAAAGAGAAUAAAUUUUUUAGUUUCAACCUAGUCAUCUUACUUAGCAAGAACGUCGGUGAAGAUCGAAAGAACCUUUAAAUUAAAAGAACUCUAGUAAUAAUAUCCAUCAUUUUUAAAACUUAUAUUUUUUUAAAACUACUAUUUAAAUAUAUUCUUAAUAAUAUUUAUGCCACAUUCAAAAUUCAGUACUCAUUAAUUGAUAAAGAACAAACACGCAACACUCAUAUCAAGAGAUUAAUAAUUAGUGAAAGAGAAAGUAAAAAUAUUUAAGAAUUAAUUGUGGUGAAUAGGAGUCAAUGUGAAUUAAUAAAGAAUACUAGUAAAUAAAUAAGAAUGAAUAGAAGAAAAAAAAGUCUUCACACAUUAAUGAAAAAGAUUUAAAAAAAAAAAAGGAAUGAAAGAAAGAAAAAGCUUCAAAACAUUAAUGUUGUUCCACGAGAGUCAAUUUGAAUUAAUAAAGAAUAAUAGUAAAUAAAUAAGAAUGAAUGGAAGAAAAAAAAGUCUUCACACAUUAAUGAAAAAGAUUAAAAAAAAAAAAGGAAAUGAAAGAAAGAAAAAGCUUCAAAAAAUUAAUGUUAUCCACGAGAUUCGAACACGCAACACUCCUAUCAAGAGAUUAAUAAUUAGUGAAAGAGAAAGUAAAAACAUUUAAGAAUUAAUUGUGGUGAAUAGGAGUCAAUUUGAAUUACUAAAGAAUACUAGUAAAUAAAUAAGAAUGAAUAGAAGAAAAAAAAAGGAAAGAAAGAAAGAAAAAGCUUCAAAAAUUAAUGAUGUCCACGAGAUUCAAAUCCGCGCUGCCCUUGUGUUCAAACUCACAACUCUAUCGUGGCAGAGCAUUACAUGACCCCUUUCUUACCACUAAGCCACCAGACAAUUUUGUUAGGAGGUUCACAAGUUAAUUUAUAUAUUUAUUUAUUUUUCUAAUACAAAUACAAGAUCUACGAAAAGGCUAUUGGAUUCGUCCGAACCCAUGAACCCCCGCUUAGUCGGCACAAUUUGUUCAUGCAUGAGAUCAUGUUAUUUUAUAUAUAUAAUGUUAUUAAGUUUUCGUGAAAAAACAGAACUAUCGAUUGGGAAAAUGUAAAAAUAUAAAUUGAAAUCAUAAAAAGACAGACAAUAUAUAUAUAUAGGAGAAAAACUUAUAUACUCCAUAUAGUUUAAUGAUUUAACUUGUUAUAGCGCAUCAUAUUGUAGUUGGGUGUAACGAAAGAAUUAUGACUUCAAUCGAAUUCAAAUGAGUCGUAGGAGCAUUUUAAUUGAUCUUGAACCAAUAACAUGUUCAAAUUCUAGAUCCUCCUCCGCGAGUAAUUCAAAUGAGUCGUAGUAAUUCUGUCUUACGUACUAAAACAGAAAUACGUUACGUUUUACAAUAAUAGUGCAUUUAAUUACUUAGACUGACGUACGUUUCUAAUUAAACUUUGCAUGCAUGCAUGCAUGCAUGCAGUGUGAAAGCAUAGAUGGAGUGGAGAAGAAGCUUACAGAAAUGGGGAUAGAGUACUUUAAACAGCUAGUUGAAGAAGGAGGGAUAUAUGUGGAUCAACUUUUUUUCCAUGAUCCAGAUGGAUUUAUCGUUGAAAUUUGCAAUUGUGAUAAACUUCCUAUCAUUCCACUUGUUGGGGGAGAUGGCUAGGUCUUGCUCCACACAUAAUCUUCACACAACAUCACAAAUGGAAUAUGUCCCACUCAAUUAUAUUCCUUAAACUAGAAGUUAAUUAGUGUUCCUUGGUUUAACACUUAUUCAGAAUUGUUGUUAUAAUAAAUUAAUUUGGCAAUUAUAUGUCGAAAUGUUCAAAUGGAUGAUAGUUUUGGUAGCUUUAUUGAUUUGAAAUGUGACCUGCCUGGAUUUAGGUACAUAAAUGUUAUAUAAGUACUUAAUUUAUAUCGGAGAUCGAAUGUUGACUAAAGUCAAUUCAAGUAUUUUGAACUUUAAAUUUUCAACCAACAACUUGAAUCACUCGUGAAUGCCUCUGGACCGAAUUAAUUAUGCAACUAAUUAAUUCAAAAGCCAUCUUUUGGAUCUAACGAAAUUGAUGAAAUUUCAUUUUAAUUCCGUUUACCUGAAACGUUGACUUGGAUCAAAACUUCUCAAUUUUCAGACCUUCAAAACUAAAAAAAUAUCACCCAAACUCAUUUGAUCACCUCGUAAAUUGUGUCACACAUCUGUACAGGUCACAACACCAAACAUAUAUAAGCUAUGAAAGAAGGUAAAACAUGGAAAUUACGCAAAAAUUACGAGACGAUCAAGAAGAUCAUUACAUGGGAUUCUCUUUUCAUGGAAAUAUAUUAUUGAAUUGGUUCCACUCAUAAGGGAUGAUAAGUAGGCAUUUACCUAUAUAUUAGUUUGUCUUUCUCAUAAACUCGUGGGUAAUAAUUGUUAUGACUGACCAUUAGACGUUCUUCCACCAAAGAAAAUGAACACUCCCAACGUUCUGCAAACCAUUUUUGCUGACAUUAAGCCUAAUGAGAAUGUGAGACAAAUUAAUAAAAAAUAUUAUUAAAAUGCUCAAAUUUAUAUAUUAACAAUUCCUCACGUUUUUAAAUAAUAAUUGGGAAUGCCCGUGCUCAAAACAACACGUGGUAUUUGAAUUCCUUGUCUAAUGUGAGGUUAUAAAUUGGAUAAAAGAUAAAAUAGAGAAAUAGUAUGAUCAGAUAUUGAUAAUACUUUUGGCUGUAUAAAUUUCUCAAGAUACGUCACUGGAUAAAUCUAACUAUGUUACUGUUUCAUAAUGCUGAGAAUAAAUAUUAGAUAGCUACUCGAAUUGACAGAAAAAUCCAUCUAAUUAGUGUUUGAUCUUCAUAGUUCUACAAGAAACUAAAAGAGAAUCAGGCACAAGUACCCUCCUAGACUAUUAUCGAAAUCUCAGAAACAUAUCUAAACUUAAUUAGGGCCCUAUUUAUUUUAACUUUUAAUUAGUUAUUACACAUAUUUAUUGAUAUUAAAACUUAUAUAUAUUUAUUUUAAUUUUUUUCUCAAUUUAAAAUUUUUAUUUUUUUCUUUGAUUAAUUUCUUAUCUUUUAAUUUUUAUUAACUAUGUUUAUUUUUUUUUAAAAUAAUUAAAAAGUGUCCUUUAAUUUAAUUGUUUUAUAUUUUAUUUGAUUUUCUUCACUUAUUUUGAUAUCCGUUUGAAAUUAAAUUAUUUUAAGUACAAGACAUUUGGAAUUAAAUUUGAAAUCAAAUCAAAAGGAAAGACAGAAAAUAAAAAGAGUAAAUAAAAUCAAUAGAAAAAUAAAAGAGAAAAAACAAUGAAUGAGGUAAAAAAAAAAAUUAGAUACAAGGGAAAAAAUAAGUGUAUUAACUUAAUUUAAAUACAAGAUGAACAAAAUAAGUUUUUCUUUAAAAAAAAUUAUAUUUUUUAACAAAAAGUAAGAAAAAUAUUAAUAUUAAAAAUAUUUACACACGUGGUAGGUGGGUGUGUACAAACACAGCCAACUUGGGUGGUUGAAGGUGUCAUGUCAGCACAAAAGGUGCACAAAAGCACUAAAAAAAUGAGUUCGGGGGGGGGGGGAGGUAGGGGUGUGCAAAAUCUGAACCGACCGAUAAAUUGAACCGAAAAAAGUGUUAUUGAUUUAUUGCUAUUGGGCUAUUGGGUUAACGAUUUCUUAAUGAUUUUUAUAAAAAAAUAUUAUCAGGUUAUCGGUUCGGUAUUGGUUUCCAAUAUUGGGUUAUUGGGUAAACCGAUAAUCCAUUAAGAGUUGAGACUAUAGUAAUUUACUACUUUUACAUAUACAUACAUAUUAGUAAAUAUUAAUCUCAAUAUCUUAAUAGUUAUGUCUUUGUCAUUUAACCAUCAAUUCAUACUUCGCUGUGACUUUGAGUUCACAACUUUACAUUAUACAAAUCGUCAAAACCUAAAGUAAGAACCAUAUUCCUCUUAAUUUCUCUUUGUGUUACACAUGUAUAGUUCUUUUCAUAUUUGUUAUUAUUAUUUCUAUUUUAUGAGCUUUUGUAAAGUUACAUUAUUGUCUUGUCGUGCCAAAUUUAUUAGAAAAGUCAUAUAUUUCUUUUAUAAGCAUUUUCUUAUUGGUUAAACAGAAAAUCGAACCGUUAAGGAAUAAAAUUGAUAAACCGAAAACCGAAUUUUUUUUAUCUUAUUGGUUCGUUAUUGGUUUAGAGUAUUUAAAAAUAAAAAACCGAUAAUACAUAAAACUGAACCGACCGAUGCACACCCCUAGGGGGGGAGGGGAGGGGUAAUAGGACCCUAUUUAAAUUUAGGGUGUCUCUGGAAUUUCGAUCAUAGUCUAGGAGAUUACUUGUGCCAUAUCCCAAACCAAAAUAAAAAUUACCCAUUAGCUUUAUUCCAUCAGCAUGCAAUGUACUUGGCAUGCGUAACCACACUAUCUUGCUAUGCCACUGCAUCAUCCCAUGCAAAUAUUCAGCCAACGACAUCUCCAUAUUUAGAACACAAUAUAAUUGUCAAAACAACUGAAAUGGUAAUAAGCAGAUGAACAAAAACAAAUCUUAACAAAUAAAAAUGAAAAAUAACAUCGUUUUCAAGGUUAAAAGUGAAAGUAACAUAAUAUAAUGAGAAACUAAUUUACAUAACUAUGGUUGAUCGAUUGUCAUGAUUGUUAAAUAAAUCAGCAUCUAGUGAGAAAACAAAGCUUAAAGUAACAAAUUUACUAAUGUAAGUUACUUGCUCUAGGUUAGUAUCACAAUCCAACUCUUUGGGCCAUGCAAGCGCCUACUUUAAUAAUUAGAUAUAUGUUGUUGUACAAUAUACAACUUAUGCAACCUCUCGUAACGAUUCAAGAACUCAAAAGUGUCCUCAUUUUCAGUACCAUGAAACUAUGAAGGCUUCAACUUCAAAAACAUAGUCAACAACUCAUGCUUAGUCUCGGUCAUAGCAGGGCCUAGUAUGGAAUGGAAGAACGCAUCAAUACCCGAAGCUUAAUCCAUUCAGGGAGCGUUGCUAGCAAUGGAAUGAGUGCUUGGAGCCUGAGUAGCCGACACAAUAGGAGUGGCUCCAGUUACGGCUAUCCCACUCAGGAUGGCUAACACUUGUUGAAUAACCUCAGAAGUUACAGGGGGGAAGGCCUACAACCCUAACUUGUGUCGCCAUAUCGGGUUCAACACCCUUCUUAAACUCUACCUCCACAUCCUCCUCAAUAUGAACCUGGGUAGGGGAGGGGUCGCUGGUCUCGGUCCAGGUGUUGGCCAAACUCCACCCCCGGCGGGUGUUACUCUCCACUUGGUCCUGCCGUUUCAUAUGCCUUUGCCCCUUCCUCACCCUUGCAUUGUUGGUUCUGCAACUGGAGUUGGUACUCUCACUCUGUUUCAUCUGGUGUCAAUCAUCUACGGAAUAAAGAAUUUAAAAAAUCAAAUAUAAAUUUGGAUCAUCAAAUACCAAUUGGAAAAUGUUGAACAAUAAAAAGGAAGUAAUAGUCAAAGAUUUCAAACAAGUUUCAUAAUAUAAAAGUCAUUAUCACCAAACAUUUGCGGAAGAAAUCCCCCUGAAAAUUGAAAGUCGUGUGCCAAAACAUUUAUGUAGUCUAGAGUAUGGGGAUGCAACCCCAAAACAUAAAUAGUCUAAGUCCAAAAUAUGGAUCAGAGGGGAAAAGAGGAAUCCAUAGCGGCUUGAAAAAAAUAGCCCAUUAUUUGGAUUCAAGAAGUGCAAGAGCCAUAAUUGAGGUCAUGAAGCAACCAUCGAAAUAUGCCCUUUCUUAACAAAGAAAGAGCAAGUGCAGUAUCAGUACACAAAAUCCACAUUGUAUUGGUAAAAUCAUUGGCCAACUCUAGUUAUACUAAAUAUGAAUAAGUAAUCACAACUUAGUGAAAUAGAUAACGUAAGUAAUAACAUGAUAAUAACAUUACAACAAGCCAUUUCGGCUCACUCAUGGAACCUACAUACACAACAAUUAAUGUACCAACUACCAAGUGUGGUACCCUAGUCAGCCAUUAUUAUUUAUUAUCGGCGUGGUACCCAAAUCAAUCAUAUAAAUAUCCCGUACCAGUCAAGGUGCCCAAGCUAAUAAAAAAUAUACCACGUGGUACUCGAGCCAACCAAGAGAUAUCAUGAAUCAGACGUGUUACUAGCUCAAAUCAAUCAUUAAUAUGUACCAUGCAUGGUACCUGCGACAACUAGCAAUCACACAUCACAACGAAUAAAAAUCACACUUGUCAUACAUUAUAUAGAAAAUACUGGUGAAGCAGUUACCAAGCACAAAUCACAUAAACUAAAAAUAAACAACCAUCACCUACCUCAAAUUAAGCCCAGAAUGCUCUAUUGAACCUGAACUUUUCCCUUGUUAUGAUGCCUAACUAGUUCUUGAUCUAAAAAUAAUAAAUAUAACACAUAAUCAGAUCCAAAUGACCUAGAAACACCCGAAUUAUAUCCUAAUCCCAACCCCGGGUCAUUCUCAUGAUUAUCCCACCCAAAUAAGGGUUUUCCACCACUAAAUUAAAUGAAACCCUCCCCUAAGAUCACCACCAUAGAUUCUAAGGCUCUAGAACCGAAUUACUAAGUUAAGGGAGUAAUUUACUUACCUUUACGGAUGAUUAUGAUGAAAAAUGGAUGAAAUUCACCCAAGUCGCUUAUGCUCUUCCCCAAAACAUAAUUGCCAAAUAAUGAGCAAUUUUGGGAGAUUUUUUUCCAUUAACCGUGACUAACCCCACUAUAGAGGUCCAAUUCAGCUAUGGCGACAGUGGUGCAGUGGGCUCUGAGAAAUUGUGAAACACAAGCAGUAUAAGCUCAAAGUUGAGCAACAAUGGAAGUAACAAUGGAAGCUUCUAGUAAGAACAGGGGAGAAAAUUGAUAUGUGGAAAAUGAAGCUUAGCCAUUGUAUUGAUCAAUGUAGUAUUUAUAUACAUCAGAAAUAAAAGUGGAAAGCAUCUAAUCUAACUGCACAGUGAAAUAACUAACUCUGACAGACUAACUACCUAACUAAUUGUGUAACUAAUUAUAUUGUGUACCUAAUUAUUCACAUUACAAUAUAAUGUUUAAUACCCCCACUCAAGUUGGAGGUGGAGACAACACUGCCAACUUGUCAAGGAUGGAGGAGUGUUUAAUUCCUGUCAAAGCUUUAGUCAGUAUAUCAGCCAGCUGAUCCUGUGUAGCAAUGUGAUGUAAAGAAAUAAGUCCUUGCUGUAGAACAUCCCUCACAUAAUGACAGUCGACUUCGAUGUGUUUGGUUCGUUCAUGAAAAACAAGAUUUCGUGCUAUAUGUAUUGCGGAUUGAAUGUCACAGAAGACAGAAAUAGGUUUGGAAAAAGGGACAACUAACUCAGCAAAUAACCUACUCAGCCAUACCAGUUCCCCGACCAACUUCCUGAGGGAUCUAUAUUCAGCCUCUGCAGAUGACAAUGAAAUAGUUUCUUGUUUCUUGGAUUUCCAGCUUAGUGGACUACCUCCAAUCAAUACUAGGAACCCACUAACAGACUUCCGAGAGUCUGGGCAGGAUGCCCAAUCUGAAUCACAGUAUCCUCUGAUAGUGAAGUCGGCAUUCUUAGAUAAAAACAAACCCAGUGUAGGGUCAUUCUUCAAGUAUCUCAAGAGGUGAAAAGCAGCCUGUAAAUGUGGUUCCCUGGGAUCUUGCAUGAACUGGCUUAGAUGUUGUACACUGAAAACAAUGUCCAGCCUGGUGUUAGUGAGGAAAUUAAGCUUCCCAACAAGUUUUCUAUAAUAAGUAGCAUCAUUCAGAACUGGUCCUUCUUUGUAGGGCUGGGCAUUCGGUUAUUCGGUUCGGUUUCGGGUUUUUUUUUCGGUUUUUUCGAUUUUCAGUUUUUGUAAAACGUGUACCGAACACCGAACCGAAUUAUUUCGGUUCGGUUUGGUUUAUGUUAUUUUGGUUCAGUUUUUGUUAGUUCGGUUUUUUUGUUAUGGGCCUGCUUAGUGGGCUUUUAAAAUUAUACAUUUUUUUUGUUUGAUUUUUCAAUUUAAUGGGCUAAAAAUAGUUACAUUGCUAUGUCAUAUCAGCUGCAAUAUUCUGUAUAAUGCCCUAUAGCUGAAAGCUGAAAAAUGUAUAUUUCACACUUGUACCACUGCUACUAUAAACGAUAUAUUAUUACAUAUAUAUGUACCACUGCUGUUAUAAACUAAUGCAAGCUGUAAAAUGCAAGUUGUCCCUAAAGAAGUAUACUUGCAGUUGUAUAAUGCAAACUGUCCCUAAAUUAAUUGGACAUUUAUUUUGACUAACAACAAAAAGCUCACCUCAAAAGUCAAAAUUGUCAUACUGCCAAAGUUUUUAAUUAACAAAAGUGCAUUGUACUAACAAGCAACAAUUUAACAAAGUGAUAAAACUUCACUACACUUCACAAAUACAAUGAUCAAUUGAUCAUGCCAUUACACCACAACAUAAUAAUAAUUUAACAAGUAACAAUAAUGCACCAAUGUAGUUUCUUUCAUGAGACCACUUUCAAGUUUCAAGUGCCAACAAUAACAAACAACAAUAAUGAGCAACAAACAAUGUAGCUUCUUGCCUUCUUCCAUGAGAUCACUUUCAAAUGUCAACAAUAACAAAUAACAAAAAAUAGAGCAACAAUGUAGUUUCUUGACUUUCUUCCAUGAGACCACUUUCAAGUCUCAAGUGCCAACAAAAAUACUAACAAAACUUAGUACUUUACGUCUUUCUUCAUUGUCUUGACUCUUGGACCUUUUAAGAUAAAAUCAAAUGUUAGAAUACUACUUUUAAGAUUAAAAAAUGAUAUGAUUAAAAUAAAUGAUGUAUUGAACUCACCACUAUUAUAUACUUGUACUUGCAAGUCAAUCAUAGAUCAACAAUGGAAGAGUUUCUUCCACUAUUUGCCAUCUCUAUAGAUAAGAAAAUCAAAUAUGUCAUACAACACAAUAAGUAUUUUAUUUUUCAAAAACAAAUAAAAAAAUAAAAAAUCUUACCAAGUUCAAUUUUUUCAAGAAACUUCAAACUUUCUUCAACACAAAUAAGCUUAGUUUCUUGUCUAAGCCAAUCUUGGACACAAAUAAGGCAUUGCACACAUUUGGGAGUCAAUGAACUUCUAAAGGGAUCGAGAAUACGACCACCGGUGCUAAAUGCACAUUCUGAUGCCACACUCGACAUAGGAAUAGCCAAUACAUCUCGAGCCAACUGUGAAAGUACAGGAAAUCUAGGAGAAUUAACUUUCCACCAAAUCAAAAUAUAAAAAUCCUCAAAUUCAGGCUCUUGGUCUUCAAGAAGAUAUCUAUCCAACUCAGAUUUAACACCUAAACUUCCAGAAUCUUCCUUUUGUUUCUUCAUGUAAAACUUAGUUCUCAAAGAAUUUGUUUUCACAUUUUGAGAAAAACCACAAGUAGAAGAAUCAGAUAAGUCAGAUGAAGAUGAUUGAUUUUUAGAACCUUUUGCGUACUUACUUACAUAGAUCGCAAAUAAUUUUUUCAAGUAAGCUUCUACUUCAUUAUUCACUAUCUUUCCUUUUUCUUCCCCAAGUAAUUCUUUAAGAGCAAAACUAACAUACACAAAUUUAUUGCGAGGAUCCAAAACAGAAGCAAUAAAAAGCAUUUUGUUCAUCUUCUCAGGAGUACCCCAAUAUUUCUUGAACUUCUCUUUCAUCCCCGAAGCCAUUUUACUCAAAUCAACUUCAUCACUUGCCAUACAUACUUUCAAAUAUGCAUCAAGCUCACAUAUAUCCUCAAAAUGAACAUUACAAGUAACAUACCGUGAACCUGAAACUUUCAAUGUGAGCUCAUAAAAUUUUUCAAGAAAUUUUGUGACAUUCCUCACAUUAAUCCAAUCCUCAUUUUGAAUUGAACCUGCAAUACUUCCAUCUUCACAAACAUCAGUAGCAAGAAAAGAAUUAAAAUUACCAUCAUAAAGAUCAAACCUUUCAAAAGCUUUCUCAAACUUUUUUGCCGUGUCCAACAUCAAAUAGGUGGAAUUCUGAAACGACCCCAAAAAUGCCCGAAAAUGUGCUUUGGAAACACCUAAAAUUGUAAUUUCCAUAUAUCUCAAAAUCCGUGCAUGAUUUCGGAAAUUCGACUUCAUAUUCUUAUUCAGGGGGUCAAAUUGAGUGGGAAAUGAGUCUAACCCGAAUUUUAGAACAACCGUAUCAAAAUUCGAAAAUCGCAAAAAAAUGCGAUUUUGAGGGUCAACUUUAAAGGGGCAUAUCUCUCAGCACACAAGGAACUGGAAGGAGCUCAAACUAUCAAAAUUAAACCUUUGUGAGUUAGCUUUCCAACGCAAUUUGUUUCACCUCAUUCCGAGUUAGGAUGAAGGAGUUAUGACCAUUUUCGUAAAACCUCACCGGCAGAAAAGUGCCAUUUCCAGUAAGCCGAAACACUGUUCACCCGCCCCAUUAUUUUUUCUAAGUGUUGGACAAUUUUUUUCCCAAAGGGCAUAUGAUAUUCCAUAUAUAUCAUUAGUUCAUUCCAAGUCUCUAAAACAUUUCUCAAACAUCCAAAAACUCUCUCUAAACCCUCUCCAAAAAAUUCCACCAAGAUCAUCAACCAAAUUCAAGGAUCCCAAGCUUUAAUUCCGGAUUCAAGAUUCAAUCUCAAGCAAUUCUCCAUUCCAAUCUUCAUCAAGAAUUCUCCAAAGUUGAGGUAUGUGGGUUGAUUGUGGAAACCUUCCUUUCCACAAGUCCAACCAUUUAUCCUCUAUUUUACUUCAAGUUUAUGGGUCCUUAUGAUCAUUUAUGAACUCUUGAAUUAUGGAAUUAUUACUACACAUCCUAUUAUGGUCUAUUUUUGUAUAUUAUCAUGAAAUGGAAUGAUUAUAUGAUGUUUAUGGUUUUCAUGCCUCAAUGAUCAAAUUAUGAAGGUUGUUAUAUAUGUAUAUAUAUAUGUAUGUUGUUGGUGGGCUGUUUUAUAUGGAUUUUGAAAUUGGUUGGACUUAGUACUCUUGAAACACAUGAUUUUAUUUACAUGAACAAGUAGCCCACCAUAUGUUUGAUAAAAUGCCAUUUAUAGAAUUCUUAUGAAAUGGAAGGUCCAAUGUACGUCCUAUGAGUCGGAUGAUUAUAUAAGUAUUGAAAUGAUGAUGAAAUGGAUACAUGUAUAUGAUUUUCUCUAUAUAGUAUGUGAGUUGACCAAGCCUAGUACGGGGGGUAGUAGGCCCGUAUAACCGUAUCGAGGGGUUGGUACCUUGGUUGCCUAGUACGGGGGGUAGUAGGCCCGUAUAACCGUAUCGAGGGGUUGGUACCUUGGUUGCCUAGUACGGGGGGUAGUAGGCCCGUAUAACCGUAUCGAGGGGUUGGUACCUUGGUUGCCUAGUACGGGGGGUAGUAGGCCCGUAUAACCGUAUCGAGGGGUUGGUACCUUGGUUGCCUAGUACGGGGGGUAGUAGGCCCGUAUAACCGUAUCGAGGGGUUGGUACCUUGGUUGCCUAGUACGGGGGGUAGUAGGCCCGUAUAACCGUAUCGAGGGGUUGGUACCUUGGUUGCCUAGUACGGGGGGUAGUAGGCCCGUUUUUCUAUCUUUUGCAUUUCAACACAUUUCAAGAAAUUUCUUGUCCUUGUAGAAGAUGAUCUAACAUAUUUCACCAUUUGUCUCACCCGUUUGAUAGAAGGAUAAAUUUCUUUCAAACCAUCUUGCACAAUUAAAUUAAGUAUGUGAGCCAUACAUCUCACAUGAAGAUGCUUACCAUCCAUCAUAUUAGUUCCCCACAGAUCUAAUUUUUUGGACAACUCUAAAACCGCCACAUCAUUUGAAGAGGCAUUAUCAACUGUAACAGUAAAGACAUUGUCCAAAUUUCAAUCAAGUAAACAAUUACUAAUACACUCAGCCAAAUGCUCACCUUUAUGACUAGUGAUAGGACAAAAAUUCAAUAUUCUUUUAUGAAGCACCCAGUCCCUAUCAAUAAAGUGAGCAGUCAAACACAUAUAAUUGAUUCUUUGCACCGAAGUCCAUGUGUCUGUUGUGAGACAAAUUCUUGGUUGUAUUUCUCUAAAAGACUUUUUCAAAUCUAUUCUCAAUUCACCAUAAACUUCAUAAGAAUCCCUUGUUAUGGUUCUAUGAGAAGGAAUCCGAAACAAAGGUUGGACUUUACUCAUAAACUUCUUAAAGCCUUCUUUUUCAACAAAACUAAAAGGUAGUUCAUCCAAAAUUAUCAUCUCAACUAAAGCUCUCCUAGCUACCUCUUGCUCAAACUUCCAAGUCUCUAACGAAGAACUGUUACUUUGAAUAUUUAACAAUUUUUGAAUACCAGGUGCAACAGGCGGGGGCUUUUACACUUUACAUCGGCUAGUCAAAUGUUGUCUCAGUCCACUUGUUCCAUUUCUGGUUGUAUUAGCAGCAUAGUAUUGUUUACAAUAUAAACACUUUGCUUUAACUAAUAUAUCAUUUUCAAAUAUUUUUUCAAAGUGUUGCCAAACAGUAGAUCUAGGAUCCAUUUCUUUUCUUUUUUUUGUUUCCUCUGUGCCAAUUGACGCAUCAUUGCUAUUAGUAGGUGUAUUAUUCGUAGAACCAGCCAUACUUAUUCGACUUUGAUCAGCCACACCCACAUUUAAUUGAUUUUGUUCAGCCAUCUAUAUAAAAAAAUAAUUAUUUCACAAUGAAUUCACAAACUAACUAAGUAACUAGUAACAACUAACAAAAGCAAAAAUCAAAAAGAAAAAUGAAUGGAAAUAUUGACAAUACCUGAUGCACCUUAAAAUGAAACUUUGCAACUUAAAAUGAAUGAAGAAAUAUUGACAAUACCUGAUGGUGGUCGCUGCCUCGCCGGUCGCUGGUGGUCGUCGGCUGCUGCGUGAUGUUGGUCGGCGGUUGCUGGCUUGUUGCCGGUCGCCGGAAGACGUGCAAAGAACAGUGGAAUCAAAAAGUGUGGCUGCCCUGCUAUUCUGCUAAGUGCUAAGUGCUAAGAGAAUAGAAAAGUAAAAGGUAAUGUUUGACCAAUUGACCUAAUUGAUUUUUGCUUAUUUAUUAUUUGUUAUUAAUAAAAUAUUAAUAAUAUUAUAAAUAUAAUAUAAUAUAUUUCGGUAAACUGAAAUACCGAAUAGUACAAAAUCAAAUACCGAAAACCGAACCGAAAUACCAAAAAAUACGAAAACAUAUACCGAAUACCGAACCGAAAACCGAAAUACCGAAACCGAAAUACCGAAAUAAUUCGGUUCGGUUCGGUGUUUCGGUUUCUCGGUGUUUAUGCCCACCCGUACUUCUUUGGCUCUCAUCUUAGCAUUGGGAUCAAGAGGAGAGGCCAAAGAACUUAAGUGCAAGCAGUCAUAUUCCCUCAACAUGUCCAAAACAAACUUUCUUUGUGAAAUAAUGACUCCAUGUGGUGUGUGAAGAACUUCCAAUCCUAGAAAAUAGUGUAACAACCCCAAAUCCUUAAUCUUGAAUCUGUUAUGUAGGUAGAUUUUCAAGUCUGCUAUUUCAGCAGCAUCAGUACCUGUAAGAACUAUAUCAUCUACAUAGACUGCGACAUAAACUGUUGAACUCUCUUUUCUUUUAUAGAAGAGAGAAUAAUCAUGCAUUGAGUGAGUAUAUCCUCUAGAAUAUAAAGCUUCAGUAAGCUUAGCAUACCAUUGCCUACUAGCUUGUUUGAGCCCAUAAAGGGACUUCUUCAGUUUACACACCAAGGUAGGAUCUGGAGUUACAAGUCCAGGUGGUAUGUCCAUAUAGACUUCUUCAUUCAAAUCUCCAUGAAGAAAUGCAUUGUUUAUGUCUAAUUGAUACAUAGUCCUCCCUUGUUUAACUGUUGUAAUCAACAAAGCUCUAACUGUGGUCAUUUUCACCACAUGAGAGAAACUUUCAGUAUAGUCAAUGUCUGCUUGUUGUGUGUAACCUUUGACAACAAGUCUGGCCUUUAGUCUUUCAAUACUACCAUCUGCAUUGUGUUUAAUCUUGUAGACCCAUUUACAGCCUAUGGCUUUCUUUCCAUUAGGAAGUGGAACCAAAUCCCAAAGUAUUAUUAGAGUGCAAAGCAUCAAAUUCUUGUGUCAUGGCAACCUGCCAUGCAGGGUCAACAACAGCCUCCUCAUAUGAAAUUGGUUCCCUGUCAAGGCAAACAUUUCUGACAAAAUCUUGACUAUUAGGAAUUAGAGCACUGUGAGCCAUGUGUUGGUGAUUGGAGAAAAGAGCAUUAAGAGUAGUGGUAGUGUUGGUGGGGGAUGGCUUUAGUUGUGGCAUGGAACAAAUGUAAUCAGUCAUAUAUGUUGGAGGCUUGUGACACCUAGUGGAUCUUCUAGGUGCUUGGUGGGGGACAACAGUGGAUGGAUGAACUGGUAAUGAAGGUGAGGUUAAUGGAACUGGAACUAUAAGAUCAGGUGAGCUAUUGAAAGAAACAUUAGAACUGUCAGAUGCAGUCUGAGUAUCUUGUGUGCCAUGCUUAUCAGAAUUGUCCAAAACAUCAAUAAAACAAGGAAAUUGUAAACAAGAAAUUGGUGGAGUAGGGGUAGAGGGAUUAUGAAAAGGAAAAAUAUUCUCAUGAAAAAUGACAUCUCUAGAAACAUGUAUUCUUUUUGUGGACAUAUUUAGAACUUUGUACCCUUUUGUCUCAUAGGGAUAUCCAACAAAGAUGUGUGGGUUAGUUCUUGGUUCAAAUUUAGCUCUGUGAGGUAUAGGAACUGUAGGAUAACAAAGGCAACCAAAGCUUCUUUUUGUAGAGGAUUUCAUAUGGACAUGCAUUGUUUAAUACAACAGAGGGAAGCCUGUUGAUAAUGUAUGUUGCACAUAGAAGACAUUCUCCCCAAUAUUGAACAGGAAGUUUAGAUUGGAAAAAUAGUGCUCUAGCAGUCUCAAGUAAGUGUUUGUGUUUUCUUUCUACCAUGCCAUUUUGUUGUGGUGUGUAAGGGUAGGUUUUCUGGUGGAGGAUUCCUUUUGUCUGAAAAAACAUUGUUGUUUCAGCAUUUUACAAAUUCCAGACCAUUGUCUGUUCUGAUUGCUUUAACAGUGGUUUUAAAUUGGGUUUCUAUUAUGGUAAGGAAGGCUUUUAAGGUUUGGAAUGCAUUGCUUUUAGAGCUGAUUAACUGAGUCCAUGUGGACCUGCUAAAAUCAUCUACAAUGGUGAUGAAAUAUUUGAAAUGAUUGUAUGUGGCUGUGUGAUAUGGUCCCCACAAAUCAACAUGAAGUAGUUCAAAAAUAUGUGAGGUGAAUGUGGUUCUGGGUUGGAAUGGUAAUCUUUCUUGUCUUGCCAUGGGACAAAUGGAACACAUAAAAGGUUGUUUAGAGGAGAAUUUGACAGGAAUACUGGAAAUACCCUUCAUUUUGACAAAAGGAACCUGUCCCAAUCUAUUAUGCCACAUAAUGUCCACAUUGUUUCUAUUACAUGUAUGAGAAUUAAAACCACAAGAAUGGAAAGGGACAUCAACUGAAGAAUGUUUAACAGCUAAACAAGGUUCUCUUUUAUUGACAGAACUAGUACAUUGUUUAUGGGAAGAAGAAUUGACACUACAAACAUUACAAGUACUAGAUGAAAGUGAACUAUAUGUAGGAGAAAUAGAAGAUUUCUGCAGGCAAUUUGGACAUAAGAAGUAGAGACCAUCAUCAGCAUUACCAAGCACCAGAGGCCUCUUCAUUGAAGGGGCCUGCAUGAAACAUAAGAUUUUGUCAAAACUGAUGGUACAAUUUGAAUGCGUAGUUAGGGUGUGAAUGGAGAUCAAAUUAUACUUGAAAGAUGGCACAAACAAGACCUUUUGUAGACUGAUCAUAGGUCCUAAUGUUACAUUCCCAAUCUGAGUCACUUUAACCUUAUAGCCAUUAGGUAGCGCAAUCAACAUUAGGUAGGGCAGUAAGGUAAUAUUAUGCAAGAGGGAUCUAUUAAAAGUCAUGUGAUGUGAAGCUCCAGAGUCUAAAAUCCAUAAGUCAGAUCUAUUUACGAAACAUUUGCAUGACAGUUUAUAAAAAUAAUAGAGGAAGUGCAUAUUGUGAUACCUGCAAAAUCAGUUUGUCCAUUUGCAAGAGCUGAGUUUGUAGUGGAUCCUUCAUUCUUAUUCUCUGUAUGAAAUUGCUGAAGCAUACUUUGAACAUGACCAUAUUGGUCUUUGGUGAGACUCAUAUUGUAUAGUUCCUCAUGUUGAUCCAUUAAUGGUCCAUUUCCAGGAGCUGAAUCAUGUGUACAAUGAGCAUUUGCUACUGGCCUAUUUCCAGACCCUCUAGGAUAUCUGUGUGGAUUAGUGUUUUGAGAAGGCUUGGGGGGUCGAAAAUUAUUUGGUCUUGGAGCAGGGUUGUUAUAGGGAUAAGUUUUCUGAUUUGGAUUGUCAUUGUUUGAAGUAGGACCAGAAGAAAAACCAGAUGGAUACCUAUGGAGUUGAUAGCAUUUCUCCAUGAGGUGUCCAGUCCUCCUACAAUAGUUGCAGAAUCUGUCUUUGUAUGGAAUUUGAGAACCAUUUCGUGGGUGAUUGGAUGAGAAAUUUGUUUGUAAGGCUGAGAGGGCUUACCAGAUCCAACAUGUAAAGCAAUCGAAUCCACAUUGAAGUGAUUUGAAGGUUUGAUUUCCCUCUGUUGUUCAUCCUGAACUAACAAUGAGAAAUCUUGUGCCAUAUUAGGAAGUGGGUUCAUCAUGAGUAUGCUACCACGAAUUACAGUAUAGAUCUCAUUUAGGCCCAUGAGAAAUUGAAUCAAACGCCUAUCUUGCUCAGCCUUGUGAGCAAGAGCCUUAGCUCCACAGUUACAGGCACAAUUGCAAUGCGCAGUGACAUUCAAAGUACUGAGUUCCUCCCAGAGCUUCUUCAACAUGGUGUAAUACCCUGUGAUGUCAAGAGAUCCUUGAGACAGAUCAUUAAUUUCCCUCUGAAUUUGGUACAGCUUUGCACCAUUCGGUUGUUCAUAAUGAUCUUCUAGCUCCCUCUAGAGUUCAGCAGAACUCAUAACAAACUCAACACUAUCAGCAAUAUCCUUCGACAGCGAAUUUAGAAUCCAAGAUGUAACAAUGUCGUCACAUCGUUCCCAUUGUCGAUACGAAGGAUGAUCAGAUUGGGGUCGUUGACAAUCUCCAUUAAUGAAGCCUAACUUGUUUUUAACAGAUAAUGAUCGCAAUACACUGCGUCUCCAUGAUCGAUACCCAAUUCCUAUGAACUGCACAGGUACAAGCAUAGCUCCGGGAUUAUCAGAGGGAUGCAUGUAGAGAGGACUAUUGGAGUCAAUCGAGAAACUAGUGGAACCUCCAGUAGAACCACUAGGCAGAUCGGAAUUAUCAGCCAUAGAUCCAAGUAGAAACAGAGAAUUUCGCAGCAAACAAAACGAACAAUCGAAACAGAAGGUGAAAUCUCAGAAUCGAGAAGGCUCUGAUACCAUGAGAAAUUGUGAAACAUAAGCAGUAUAAGCUUGAAGUUGAGCAACAAUGGAAGUAACAACGGAAGCUUCUAGUAAGAACAGGGGAGAAAAUUGAUAUGUGGAAAAUGAAGCUUAGCCAUUGUAUUGAUCAAUGUAGUAUUUAUAUACAUCAGAAAUAAAAGUGGAAAGCAUCUAAUCUAACUGCACAGUGGAACAACUAACUCUGACAGACUAACUACCUAACUAAUUGUGUAACUAAUUAUAUUGUGUAACUAAUUAUUCACAUUACAAUAUAAUGUUUAAUAGGCUCUCACGCUAUAACAUGAAUUAAAUUCACCGUUAUAGCAGCGUGUCACCCGUUAUAGAGGCUUGCACGGGAUAGAAACUCAAAAAUCCUCUAAAAUAGUCUAUUUCGUAACACACCUUCAAACCUUGAUGUUCCAAACCAAUUCUUUCACGCCAAGUUCGAUAUCGAGAGUUCUAUUCGCCCAAAUUUACUUCCGAAAAGUUUUACGAACUCCUUAACGUCUUAGAACCAAGAAAAUUAGACUUUACCUAGACAUUUCCUCCAAUCCUUUUCCCAAAUUUCCCUAGACCUUGCCUCACUCAGAUUUCAUCUAGGCUUACCCUAACCUGAAAUUUUAACUCACUACUCCAAAAGUUUCUCACUCAUUAACAACGAGGGAAGUCGUUACAAUAACUAAAUUAGAAUUUGAAUUUUUAGACAGCCAGAUAUAUGUGAUCAAUCAUAAGUGACAUAACUUUUUAAAAUUACAAAAAAAGUUUGAUUUAGUUUUAGGUUGAAAAUGUUUUUAGACCGACAGAGGAAUGCAGAAUAUCUAUGAGUGAUUUUCUAUAUGUUAAUGAUAUUUUUAUCUCUUUUUUCGUUGAUUUAAUGAUAAAUUUUAUCUAUAUUUAAAAUUAGGACGGAUCCACGUGAGAAUCGAUGGUGUUCAAAACACCAUUGACUGUGACGUAGAUUCUCUAAUUUGUACAGACAAUUAGCAAGUACUACACUAUAAUUAACAAAAAAAUAAAAGUAUGACAAGUUGUUUUAAGAAAUUAUUAAAGAUAGAGAGUUGAUAAUAUAUAUUCAAUGUAUCGGUAAUGUUUUAUUUUGAUAUUUACUUUACUUGAUUGAAAUGGUGCAUCGUAUAUAAAAAAGAUGUUCAUUUUGGUCCUUCAUAUGUUUCAUUUGAUUGAAAUGAUCUUUAAUGUAUAACAACAUGUGUUCAGUUUGGUCCUUUAACCUAAACCUAACAUAUUUAUACAAAAAAUAGUCUCAGAUUUGACUAUGGAUCCUACAUGGCUAACAAAAUUCACCAUUAUUGUCUUCUUUGUUAUCUCCAACUAAAGGUUGGUUUAUGAUGCCUACUCAAUACGUGUGGUGUAUUUAUACUAUUAUAAUUAUACCUUUUGGUGGUGUAAGUAGGUUUGUUUUAGGUUGAUUGAAGUGUGAGAUGACAGUUAUUCAUCAACUUCUACAUACUUUGUCCUCAAGUAAGAGUUGGGUUGAUCUCUUGUGUAUUUUAUUUAUCUUCUGCCCGUACUUUAUUAAAAACUCUUGUACCGAUAUAGACUAGGUCCUAGAAAGUUGUUAAGAUUUUGUAAUGUUGAGUGAUUUUUUCUUAUUGUGUUUUGUCAACCCAGAUUCAACUCUUUAAAGAAAAUUUUCAAUUUAAUUAAGAAUGUAUGGUAAGAAUUCUCCUAUUUAAUUAAAAAUAGAGCAGGUUUUCGUAUGAUCCGGUAAUUUAAAUUGUGACAAAGUGUACGUGGAUUCUCCGACUUGUAUAGACAAUUCGCAAGUACAAUACUCCAUAAUUAACAAAAGAAAUGAAACUUUCGCAAGUUGUUUCAAAAUAAUUAUUAAAAAUAAAAAUUUUAAGAUAAAAGAUUUGAUAAUAUCCACCACCUUGUGAAAUAGAUCCUACUAAGCCAAAAUCUCAGAAAAAACAAAAAAAUUAAUGAAGUAAUUUUCCAUUAUAUGACUGUAAUUAAUUCACAACAGAUUUUCUCUAACCAAAAGUCAAAGAAAAUUAAAAGUAAAGUACAUCCCAAAUAAAAAAAAUCAAAAAUUCCAUUUUUUCAAACAACAAAAAUUCCAUUUUAUGUAGUGCAAAAAUCUAGAGAUGUACUAUGAUUGAUCAAGGUUUUCUAUUAUUUGAUAACCAGAAAUAUCAAAAUGGAGAUUUUUAAUAUUUAAAAUAAAUAUAAAUUACAUGAAUUAAUUCCUUAAGUACAUCAAUUAACGACACUUAUUGAGUAGUGAUCUGAAUUCAUUCCAAUAGUCCAUAAAAAGAGUUAAUAAUCAAUAGAAAAUAAAAAAGAAAAAAUAAUGAAUGAAGGUAAAAGAAAUUUAAGAUACAAGGCAAAAACAAUAUGCGUAUUAAAUUGAUUUAAAUACAAGAUAAAUAAAUUAAGAAUAUUUUUUUAAAAAAGUUUAUUAAAAAAAUAUUUGUUUUAACAAAACGUAAGAAAAAAAUAAUAAAAUAAUAUUUACACACGUGACAAGCGGGUGUGUACAAACACAACCAACUUUGGUGGUUGAAGGUACCAUAUCAGCACAAAAAUACGAAAAAAAAGAGUUCCGGGGUGGGCUAAGAUUUCGGUCAUAACUUAAUACCAUCAAGAUUCAAUGUACUUGGCAUGAGUAACCACGCUAUCUUGCUAUGCCACUGCAACAUUCCAUGCAAAUAUUCGGUCAAUGACAUCUCCAUCUUUAGAAGACAAUGUAGUUGUCAAAACAACUGAAUGGUAUUAUGCAGAUGAACAAAAAAAAAUCUUAACAAAUAAAAAUGAAAAAUAACACCGUCAAGGUUAGACGCCUACUCUAUCACUUAGAUAUAUGUUGUUGUACAAUAUCCACCUUAUGCAAUCUCUCGUAGCGAUUCAAAAAAUCAAAAACAUCCUCAUUUUCAGUACCAUGAAACUAUGAAGGCUUCAACUUCAAAAACAUAGUCAAUACUCUUGCUUAGUCUCGGUCAUAACAGGAUCUAGUGUGGAAUGGAAGAACGCAUCAAUACCCGAAGCUUCAUCCAUUCUUGGAGCAGUGCUAGCAGCGGAAUGAGAGUCUGGAGCCUGAGUAGCCGACACAGUAGGAGUGGCUCCAGUAAUCGCUAUCGCACUCGGGAUGGUUAACACUUGCUGAAUAACCUCAGAAGUCAUAGGGGGAAGGCCUACACCCUAACUUGUGUCGCCAUCUCGGGUUCAACACCCUUCUUAAACUCUACCUCCAUAUCAUCAUCAAUAUGAACUUGUGUAAGGGAGAGGGAGGGGUCGCUGUUCUCGGCCCAGCCGUUGCCCAAGCUCCACCCCUGGUGGGUGUUGCUCUCCAUCCGGUCUUGCCCCUUUCAUAUGCCUUUGCCCCUUCUUCACCCUCGCAUUGUUGGUUCUGCAACUGGAGCUGGUACUCUCAUUUUGUUUCAUCUAGUGUCAUCCAUCUAAGAAAAAAAGAAUUAAAAAGUCAAAUAUCAAUUGAAAUCAAGUUAUAACAUUAAGAAAUAAAGAAGAGAAAAAUAUCCUAAAGUCUAAUAUAGCUUCGUGAAGAAAAGUAUAGAAGUUUAAGUAUCAUACCGUAAGACUUUACUAGACCUAUUUUGGUAUGACGAGAUUAAAAAAUCUAGGACUCUGAUAACAACUUUAUCACAAUCCAACAUGUCGUAAGAGGCACCAUACUAAACCCCUGGUGGGAGAAACAUUAUUUACUAGCAUUCAAAAUGUUGAACAAUAAAAAGGAAAUAGUUCUCAAAAAUUUUAAACAAGUUUCAUAAUAUAAAAUUCAUUAUCACCAAACAUUUACGGAAGAAAUCCUCCAAAAAAUUGAAAGUCGUUUGUCAAAACAUAUAUGUUGUCUAGAGUAUGGGAUGCAACCCCAAAACAUAAAUAGUCUAAGUCCAAAAAAUGGAUCAGAGGGGAAAAUAAUAAUCCAUAGCGGCUUGAAAAAAGUAGCCUGCAAUUUGGAUUCAAGAAGUGCAAGAGUCAUAAUUGUGGUCAUGAAGCAACCAUCGAAAUAUGUCUUUUAUUUAACAAAGAAAGAGCAAGUACAAUAUCAAUACACAAAAUCCACAUUGAGCUAGUAAAAUCAUUGGCCAACUCUAGUUAGACUAAAUAUGAUCAAGUAGCCACAACUUAGUGAAAUAGAAAACACACGUAAUAACAUGAUCGACAACAUUACAAAAAGCCAAUUCGGUUCACUCAUGGAACCCACAUACACAACAAUUAAUGUACCAAGUGUUGUACCCUAUCAACCAUUAAUAAUAUUUAACGGCGUGUUACCCAAAUCAAUUAUACAAAUAUCUCGUACUAGUCAAGGUACCCAAACUAAUAAAAAAUAUACCACGUGGUACCCGAGCCAACCAAAAGAUAUCAUGAAUCAGACGUGUUACUCAAAUCAACUGUUAGUAUGUACCAUGCAUGGUACUUGCGCCAACUAGCAAUCACACAUUACAAUGAAUAAAAAUCACACUUGUCAUACAUUAUAUAGAUAAUACUGACGGAGCAGUUAACAUGCACAUAUAACAUAAACUAAAAAUAAACAACCAUCACCUACCUCAAAUGAAGCCCAAAAUGCUCUAUUAAACCUGAACUUUUUCCUUGUUAUGAUGCCUAACUAGUUCAUGAUCUAAAAAUAAUAAAUAUAACACAUAAUCAGAUCUAAAUUACCUAGAAACACCUGAAUUAUAUCAUAAUUCAAACCCCGGGCCAUUCUAUGAUUAUCCCACCCAAAUAAGGGUUUUCCACCAUUAAAUUAAAUGAACCCCCCCUCCCCCCUAAGAUCACAAACACAGAUUCUAAGAUUCUAAGACUCUAGAAUCAAAUUACUAAGUUAAGGGAGUAAUUUACUUACCUUUACGGAUGAUUACGAUGGAAAAUAGAUGAAAUUCGCUGAAGUCGCUUCUUCUCUUCCCCAAAACAUAAUUGUCAAAUAAUGAGUAGUUUUGGUAGGGGUGUGCAUUGAUUGGUUCGGUUUUAUGUAUUAUCAGUUUGAUUUAUCGAUUUUAGGUUUUUAAAUAAGCUAAACCAAUAACAAACCAAUAAGGUAUUCUUUAUUGGUGUUUGGUUUAUCGAUUUUUUGUCAUUAACGGUUCGAUUUUUAGUUUACCCAAUAAGAAAAUGCUCAUAAAAUAAAUAUAUAAUUUCUCACUUCUCUAACAAUUUAGCACGAUACAGUGAGACAAGAAAAUCUGUUGUAAAUGCUUUGAUAUAGUGAAACAACAAAUAUAAUGAGAAAUUGCUUCAAUAAGAGUAGAUGUAGUAUGAAGGCUACAAUAAUAUGUUACAACCAAAACAUAAUAUGGAAUUUCUGAUGUGAACUAGAAGUACUAUGACGUGUGAAGUGUGUAGGUUGUAGUGUUAAGUACUAAUAUAGUGUCAAGUUAUUUUAAAUUAUUAAUAUUUAAUAUUUUAUGAAGGGCUUAACAGUAACUUACUAUAUUCUAAAUGGGUUAACUAUUGGUUUACCCAAUAACCCAAUACUAAAAAUCGAUACCAAACCUAUAACCCAAUAUUUUUUUAUUUAUAUAAAAUCAUUAAAAACCCAUUAAUCCAAUAGCCCAAUAACAAUGACCCAAUAACAUUUUUUUCGAUUCGUUUUACUGGUCAAUACAAUUUUCGCACACCCCUAAUUUUAAGAGAUUUUUGUACAUUAACUGUGACUAACCCCACUAUAGAGGUCUAAUUCAGCUAUAGUGACAGUGCUGCAGUGGGCUCUCAUGCUAUAACAUGAAUAAAAUCCACCGUUAAAGCAGCAUGUCACCCGCUAUAGAGGCUUGCAUGAGAUAGAAACUCAAAAAACCUCUAAAAUAGUCUAUUUCGUAACACACCUUCAAACCUUGACGUUUCAAACCAAUCCUUUCACACCAAGUUUGAUAUUGGGAGUUCUAUCCCCCGAAUUCACUUCCGAAAAGUUCUACGAACUUCUUAACGUCUUAGAACCAAGAAAAUUAGACUUUACCUAGACAUUUCCUCCAAUAUUUUCCCCAAAUUUUCCUAGACCUUGCCACACUCAAAUUUUGUCCAUGCUUAGCCUAACCUGAAAUUUUAACUCACUACUCCAAAAGUUUCUCACUCAUUUUCCUUCACUAUCAGCUCGCGAUAACGACGAGGGAAGUCGCUACAAUAACUAAAUUAGAAUUUGAAAUUUGACACACGGAUAUAUGUGAUCAAUCAUAAGUGAACUUUUUAAAAUUAGAAAAAAAAGUUUGAGUUAGUUUGAGGGGUAUAGUUGCGCAAACAAAAUAGGUUGAAAAUAUUUAUAGACCAAUGGAGGAAUGCAGAAUAUCUAUGAUGAUUUCUAUAUGUUAAGGAUAUUUUUGUCUUCUUUUUCCUUGAUUUAAUGAUAAAUCUUAUCUAUAUUUAUAAUAAUGGCAGAUCCACGUGAGAAUCAAUGGUGAUCAAAGCACCAUUGACUGUGACGUGGAUUCUCUGAUUUGUAUAGACAAUUAGUAAGUCCUACACUAUAAUUAACAAAAAGAUCAAAGUAUGACAAGUUUUUUUCUGAAGAAAAUUAUCAAAGAUAAAGAGUUGAUAAUAUAUAUUCAAUGUAUCGGUAAUGUUUUAUUUUGGUCCUUAAUAUAUUUUACGUGAUUGAAAUAGUCCAUGGUCCAUAGUAUAUAAAAACGAUGUUCAUUUUGGCCCUUCAUAUGUUUCAUUUGAUUGAAAUGAUCUUUAAUGUAUAACUAAAUGUAUUCAUUUUGGUCCUUGAACUUAAACCUAACAUAUUUAUCAAAAAAAUAAUGUCAAAUUUAACUAUGACCCUACGUGGCUAACAAAAUUCACCAUUGUUGUCUUCUUUGUUAGCUCCAAAGAAAGAUCAACUCCAUAAAAUCUAACACUAUUAUCUCUACUUUCUCUAACAAAAUUUAAUUUUCUAUUGCUUACAAUAUUUUUGCGCUAAGCAUAUAAUUUUUUGAAUCUUGAAGUACAUUUUAUUGGAGAAAGUUGAGAAAAUUGUUUUAGAUUUGAUUGAAUUCGUUCUUUGGAUUUAACAAAUUAAGAAGACAACAAUGGUAAUUGGUAAAUUUUGUGAGAAUCAUAUAGUUAAAUUUAACAUUUUUUUGGAUAAAUUUGUUAGUUUAGGGUAAAAAAUUAAAAUAAACACCUUUUGUUAUACGUUAAAGAUCAAUUCAAUCAAGUUUAUACUAAAUUUUAAUAUACGUGAUAACUUUUAUAUAAAUUGUAUGUGGGUGAGAUUGACGUUGAUGAUAAGACUAGUGACUGAGCUAAAAAAAUAAUUAAGGUAGUGCUAAUAUUCUGUGAAGGACUAAUGUAAGAGGUAACAUAUGAUUAAGGAGAAGUCAAAUGUGAUAUAAUUGUAUUGUUGUUUUCGUUGAUUUUGUGAUAUUAUACGUGGAUUUAAUCUAGGUUGGUUUAUGAUGACUACUCAAUACGUGUGGUGUACUUAUACUAAUAUACCCUUUGGUGGUGUAGUAGGUUUGUUUUAGGUUGAUUGAAGCGUGAGAUGACAGUUAUAUAUUCAUCAACUUCUACAUACUUUGUCCUCAAGUAAGAGUUGGGUCGAUCUCUUGUGUAUUUUAUUUAUUUUUAGCCCGUACUUUAUUAAAAACUCUUGUACCGAUCUAGACUAGGUCCUUGGAAGUUGUUAAGAUUUUGUAAUGUUGAGUGAUUUAUACUUAUUGUUUUGUUUUGUCAACCCACAUUCAACUCUUUAAAGAAAAUUUUCAGUUUAAUUAAGAAUGUAUGGUAAGAAUUUGCCUAUCUAUCUAUCUAUCUAACUAUCUGUCUGUCUGUCUGUCUAUCUAUACUACCUUAAAAGCAUGAACUUCCAAAGUUGAAUGUUGAAUUACUAUAAUACCCUCAAUUAAAAAUACUCAAUUUAUUUUAUUUAGUUUAAUUAUUUGUAUUAUAUUAAAAAUAGAUGUCUUUUCACAUUAAAGGGUUGUGAUUUUUUCAAAGAGUUGUGACUUUUUCAAAAGGUUACGACUUUUUUGAUGGGUUGUGACAUUUUUGAUGAGUUGUGACUUUCCGAAGGGUUGUGAUUUUUCCAAAGGGUUGUGACUUUUCCAAAGGUUGUGCCUUUCUCAAUGAGUUGUGACUUUUCCAAAGGGUUAUGACUUUUUCGAUGAGCAGUGAUUUUUUUGAAAGGUUGUAACUUUUCUGAUAAGGCACAAUUAGCACCUAGUCAUACUACUAUUUGUUAGCUAUAAAUAGAGGAGUUUCCUCUCACUUUUAAACUACAAUUUUUUUUAAGUUUUGUAUUCUUCUUCUUCUUAAAAAAUCUCAAGGGUUAUUUGCAACAGUUGAUUAAGUUUAAAAUUCAAUGAAAUUCGAGGUAUCACAUAAGAAAGAAUUGGUGAACAAAUUAUAGCAAAUCAUUCAACAAUUCACACUCAUAGUUUUUCUUACGAUUUUCAUGAGCUAACAAUGACGAAAAGUUGUGGGAAAGACAAUAAUAAUAAACAAAUAUGAAAAAAUCAAAUGAUUUGGGUAUGAUAUUUCUUCUUUAUUUUUUAAUUUUUUAUUCUCUUACCCUCAUGAAGGAGUUUCUUUCUAAUUUUGGUAAAACAACGGGCAUCAACAUAGUCCAUUGAAUUAUUAGUUUGGAUAUAAAAUCCACUAUUUCAAAAAUAGAUUUUAGCUUUUUCUUAUAAUAUCAUUUCGAUCAAAUGGAAAAAUUACCUCUAUAUAUAUGAUAGUCUUACUCAAGUAUUAAUUGAGUAAUAAUAUUUUGUAAAGGAUAGAUUGCGUAUAAAGAUAAAAUAUCUAAAUAUAUAUGGUAAUCCUUAUUAGUGUCAUGCACAUACUACAUUUCAAGUAUGAAUAUUUAAGAGAAAAAAUGUACUUAAAUGGUGUCCAUCAUUUAUGUUCAUAACCUCAUGAGGAAAGGCUAUUGGUGACAUUUUUUUUAAAAAAUUUGUUGGUUAGAUUUGCUUACAAAAUUGAGUGAAGUAAAAAUACUAGUAAAGAAAUGUCACUUUCUCCCCUUAUUUAAACAUUGAAUGUAUUUUGAAAUGCUUCAAUGAUAUCUAGUCAUUUUGUUUUCAAAAUACAAGUAACUGAUCUAUAAUAAUUUGUAUUAAUUACUUAAAAAAACUUGUCCUAUGUUCUUUCAAUUAUAAUUAUUUAAUAAAAAACUUUAAUUUAAUAAUAUUAAUUCUAUUUUACAACAUUAUAUACUAUAUAUACAAUACACACGUGCAACGCACGUGUGAAAUUAGUCUAAUUAAAAAUAGACUAGAUUGUAUGAUCACAUAAUUUAAAUUGUGACAAAGUGUAGGUGGAUUCUCCGAUUUGUAUAGACAAUUCGUAAGUACAAUACUCUAUAGUUAACAAAAAAAAAAUGAAAGAUUCGCAAGUUGUUUCAAAAUAAUUAUUAAAAAUAAAAAUUUUAGGAUAAAAGAUUUGAUAAUAUCCACCACCUUGUGAAAUAGAUCCUACUAAGCCAAAUCCCAGAUAAACAAAAAAAUUAAUGAAGUAAUUUUCCAUUAUAUGACUAAUUAAUUCACAACAGAUUUUCUCUAACCAAAAGUCAAAGAAAAUUAAAAGUGAACAUCCCAAAUAAAAAAUCAAAAGUUCCAUUUUUUCCAACAACAAAAAUUCCAUGAUUGAUCAAGGUUUUCUAUUAUUUGAUAAAAACAAAUAUCAAAAUUGAAAAUUUUUAAUAUUUAAAAUAAAUAUAAAUUACUUGAAUUAAUUCCUUAAGUACAUCAACUAACGACACUUAUUGAGUAGUGAUCUGAAUUCAUUUCAAUAGUCCAUAAAAUGAGUAGAUAAAAUCAAUAGAAAAUAAAAAGGAAAAAAACAAUGAAUGAAUUAGAAGGUAAUAGAAAGUUAAGAUACAAGGCAAAAACAAUAUGCGUACAAAAUUGAUUUAAAUACAAGAUAAAGAAAAUAAGAAUAUUUUUUAAAAAAGUUUAUCAAAAAAUUAUUUUUUAACAAAAAGUAAGAAAAAUAAUAAAAAAAAUAUAUUUACACACGUGGCAGGUUAAGUGUACAAACACAACCAACUUUGGUGGUUGAAGGUACCAUGUCAACACAAAAAUUAGGGGUGUACAAAAUCGAACCGAAAACCGAACCAAACCGCAAAUCGAGAAAAAAACCCGACUAGUGUUUGGUAUUGAAAAAAAAAACCUGACUAUAUUUGGGUUGGUUUGGUUUUAACUAAAAAAAACCAACCCGAGACCAAACCAACCCGACAUUAUAUAUAUAAUUUUAAAAUUUUAUUUUAUACAUAAAAAUAUUUACUUUGAUAUAAUUUUUAUAUAUUUCUUAUACUUUUCAUAGUUUUUAUCUUUUCAUAUAUUAUUUCAAGUUUGAAACUUAGAAUUCCGAAUGGUUCAAUAAAGAUUAUAGUCCACAGAUGUUGGUGAUUAUAAUAAAGCUUAAAUCAAAAUCAAAUUAAAACUAAUGCAAAAAUAAAAUCAAUUCAACCCCAAGAAUGACAAUAAUAUUGAAUAUUUGUUCUUUGAUUUUACAUUGGUUUAGAAAAUUCCAAUACAUAAUCUAAUUUUAAUUUCCUUUAAUAUUUAGUCAUGUAACUAAUAGGGAAAAUGCAUGAGUACCCUCCAACCUAUGUCCGAAAUCCCAAAGACACACUUAUACUAUACUAAGGUCCUAUUACCCCCCCGAACUUAUUUUAUAAAUAAUUUUCUACCCCUUUUGGCCUACGUGGCACUAUCAAUGAAAAAAUUGUCAACACGUGCUGGGCCCAGAAGAUUGUGCCACGUAGGCGGAAAAGGGGUAGAAAAUUAUUUAUAAAAUAAGUUCGGGGGGGUAAUAGGACCUUAGUAUAGUAUAAGUGUGUCUCUGAGAUUUCAGGCAUAGGUUGAGGGGGGUACUUAUGCAUUUUCCUAACUAAUACUUAUUAAACUUAUUUUAGCAUGAUUUAGUACUUUUAAAUUAUGAUCAUUUUCAUUAUGACUUGUUAAUUUGCAAUAUUUGUUUUACGCGAUUUCAUUAUUAUUAUUAUUAUUAUUUUUUUGUUGGAUAUUUUAGUGUCAUUACUCAUAUCAUAUUCUGUGUUAUUUUCUUAAGAAACACCUUAGAUAGUUGUAUUUUGAUAGGACUAAAGAAAUAUUUGAAGUAAAAGUAAAUUAUAUGUUUGUAUGAAUACUUUAUCGGAAAAACCCGAAAAAACCCGAGUUUAAUUGGUUUGGUUUAUAGAUUUAAAAAUCCGACACAAAUGGUUUGGUUUGAUAUUUGAAAAGCCCGAACCAACCCGACCAUGUACACCCCUAACAAAAAUAUGAAAAAAAUGAGUUCAGAGAAGGGAGGAGGGGGGGAGGGGGAUAGGACCCUAGUUAAGUUUAGGUGUAUCUCUAAGACUUCGGUCAUAAUCUAGGGGAGUACUUGUGUCAUAUCCAAAACUAAAGAGAAAAUUACCCAUUAGCUUUAUACCAUCAACAUUCAAUGUACUUGGCAUGCCUAACCACGCUAUCUUGCUAUGCCACUGCAACAUUCCAUGCAAAUAUUCCGUCAAUGACAUCUCCAUCUUUAGAAGAAAAUGUAGUUGUCAAAACAAUUGAAAUGGUAUUAAGCAGAUGAACAAAAAUUUUUUUUAACUAAAAAUGAAAAAUAACACCAUUUUCAAGGUUAAACGCCUACUCUAACACUUAGACGUAAGUUGUUGUACAAUAUCCACCUUAUGCAAUCUCUCGUAGCGAUUCAAAAACUCAAAAGCACCCUCAUUUUCAGUACCAUGAAACUAUGAAGGCUUCACCUACAAAAACAUAGUCAACAACUCAUGCUUAGUCUCGGUCAUAGCUGUUGGGUUUAUUUGCCCUGAUUUCUUACCAUAAAUAAGUUUUCCUUUUAGGAAAAUGUUUUAAUAUUUUGACUAGUCAUUUUCUUGUAGGAAGGGUUUUAGGACUCUAUAAAUACAGGCUUGUUCCUUCUAACUUAAUUAGCAUUCACAAUGUAGUCCUAGGGCUUUGAGAGUUGCGGUUAUGGAGGAGAAUUUUGUGGACCUCUUUGUAUUCCCAUUGAAUUGGUUGAGGUUGUUUCUCUCUAUAUUUUGUACUCUCAUAUUUAUAGUGGAUUGCUCAUCUCCUUUGUGGACGUAGGUCGAUUGACCGAACCACGUUAAAUCUGUCUCUUUUGGUGUGUUUCUCGUUUGUCUUCUUACUCGUGGUCUUUCGAGGUUUGUUUUGCUAGGUUCCGCAUUACACUUGAUUAUUUUCCAUCCUAACAAGUGGUAUCAGAGCCAUGGUUCAAUGAUGGAGUCAUGUUAGAGAUGGGUGUUCAUCUUGGCAAGUGUAGUUCUAGUCGCAAUCUUUUUAAUAGUAAUGAAGAUUUUGUUGGAGAAAUUGUUUCAGAGAGGUUCUCUGUGUCGAGGCGUAGAUUUGAUGGAGGAGAUUAUGGAGAAAAGAUGCAAGAUCCUAAAGAUUAUGUGAAGAAGGUGGACAAAUUUAUUUUGUCAGAAAUUCAGGCCAAGGGGAAGAUUUGUUGAGGUUUAUAGUCCUUUUCUUAUAGGAAAGGUUUUAGGACUCUAUAAAUAUAUGCAUGUUCCUUCUAACUUAAUCAGCAUUCACAAUGUAGUCCUAAGUUUUUUAGAGUUACGGUUAUGGAGGAGAAUUUUGUGUACCUCCUUGUAUUCCCAUUUAAUUGGUUGAAGUUGUUUCUCUCUAUAUUUUGUACUCUCAUAUUUAUAGUGGAUUGCUCAUCUCUUUUGUGGAUGUAGGUCGAUUGACCGAACAACAUUAAAUCUGUCUCUUUUGGUGUGUUUCUCGUUUGUCUUCUUACUCGUGGUCUUUCGAGGUUUGUUUUGCUAGGUUCCGCAUUACACUUGAUUAUUUUCCAUCCUAACAAGUGGUAUCAGAGCCAUGGGUGGAACCAUGUUAGAGAUGGGUGUUCAUCUUGGCGGGUGUAGUUCUAGUCGCAAUCUUUUUAACAGUAAUGAAGAUUUUGUGGGAGAAACUGUUUCAGAGAGGUUCUCUGUGUCGAGACGUAGAUUUGAUGGAGGAGAUUAUGGAGAAAAGAAGCAAGAUCCUAAAGAUUAUGUGAAGAAGGUGGACAAAUUUAUUUUGUCAGAAAUUCAGGCCAAGGGGGAGAUUUGUUGGGGUUUAUUUGCCCUGAUUUCUUACCAUAAAUAAGUUUUCCUUUUAGGAAAAGGUUUUAAUAUUUUGACUAGUCAUUUUCUCGUAGGAAACGUUUUAGGACUCUAUAAAUAUAGGCUUGUUCCUUCUAACUUAAUUAGCAUUCACAAUGUAGUCCUAGGGUUUUGAGAGUUGCGGUUAUGGAGGAGAAUUUUGUGUACCUCCUUGUAUUCCGAAUGAAUUGGUUGAGGUUGUUUCUCUCUAUAUUUUGUACUCUCAUAUUUAUAGUGAAUUUCUCAUCUCCUUUGUGGACGUAGGUCGAUUGAUCGAACCACGUUAAAUUUGUGUCUUUUGGUGUGUUUCUCGUUUGUGGUCUUUCAAGGCUUGCUUUGCUAGCUUCUGCAUUACACCUGCAUGCCUAUUUCGGUCCUAACAAUAGCAGGGCCUAGUAUGAGAUGGAAGAACGCAUCAAUACCCGAAGCUUCAUCCAUUCUGGCAGCGGUGCUAGUAGCAGAGUGAGUGUCUGAAGCCUGAGUAGCCGACACAAUAUGAGUGGCUCCAGUAACUCCAAUCUCACUCAGGAUGGUUAACACUUGUUGAAUAACCUCAAAAGUCAUAGGGGAAAGGUCUACACCUUAACAUGUGUCGCCAUCUCGGGUUCAACACCCUUCUUAAACGUUACCUCCACAUCAUCCUCAAUAUGAACAUGGGUAAGGAAGGGGGAUGGGUCGCUGGUCUCGGCCGAGCAGUUGCCCAAGCUCCACCCUCGGUAGGUGUUGCUCUAUAUCUCGUCUUGCCCCUUCAUAUGCCUUUGCCCCUUCCUCACCCUCGCAUUGUUGGUUCUGCAACUGGAGCUGGUGCUCUCACUCUGUUUCAUCUGGUGUCAACCAUCUAAGGAGUAAAGAAUUAAAAAAGUCAAAUAUCAAUUGGAAUCAAGUUAUAACAUUAAGAAAGAAAAGAAGAGAGAAAUAUCCUAAAGUCUAAUAGCAUGAAAAAAAGUACAGAAGUCUAAGUACCAUUUCGUAAGACUUUACUAGACCUAUUUUAUGGUAUGACGAGAUCAUAAAACUUAGUGCUCUAAUACUAAUUUUGUCAUAAUCCAACCUGUCGUAAGAGGAACUCAAACUAAACCCUGGUGGGAGAAACAUUAUUUACUAGCAUGCAAAAUGUUGAACAAUUAAAAGGAAAUAGUUCUCAAAGAUUUCAAACAAGUUUCAUAAUAUAAAAUUCAUUAUCACCAAACAUUUGCGGAAGAAAUCCGCCUAAAAAUUGAAAGUCAUGGGUCAAAACAUAUAUGUUGUCUAGAGUAUGAGGAUGCAACCGCAAAACAUAAAUAGUCUAAGUCCAAAAAAUGGAUCAGAGGGGAAAAGAGUAAUCCAUAGAGGCUUGAAAAAAAUAGCUCGCAAUUUGGAUUCAAGAAGUGCAAGAGCCAUAAUUGAGGUCACGAAGCAACCAUCAAAAUAUGUCUUUUAUUUAACAAAGAAAGAGCAAGUACAAUAUUAGUAUACAAAAUACACAUUGUACUGGUAAAAUCAUUGCCAACUCUAGUUAUACUAAAUAUGAACAAGUAACCACAACUUAGUGAAAUAGAUAACAUACGUAUUAACAUGAUCAACAACAUUACAACAAGCCAAUUCGGUUCAGUCAUGGAACCCACAUACACAACAAUUAAUGCACUAAGUGUGGUACCCCUGUCAACCAUUAGUAAUUUUUUACUAGCGUGAUACCCAAAUCAAUCAUAUAAAUAUCUCCUACUAAUCAAGGUACCCAAGCUGAUAAAAAAUAUACCACGUGGUACCCGAGACAACCAAAAGAUAUCAUGAAUUAGACGUGUUACUCAAAUCAACUAUUAGUAUGUACCAUGCAUGGCACCAACGCCAACGAACAAUCACAUAUUACAACGAAUAAAAAUCACACUUGCCAUACAUUCUAUAGAUCAUAUUGACGAAGCAGUUAACAUGCACAUAUGACAUAAACUAAAAAUAAACAACCAUCACCUACCUUGAAUCAAGCCCAAAAUGCUCUGUUGAAGCUAAACUAUUUCCUUGUUACGAUGCCUAACUAGUUCUUGAUCUAAAAAUAAUAAAGAUAACACAUAAUCAGAUCCAAAUGACCUAGAAACACCUGAAUUAUAUCAUAAUCCCAACCUCAGGUUAUUCUAUGAUUAUCCCACCCAAAUAAGGGUUUUCCACCAUAAAAUUAAAUGAAUCCCCCCCCCCUCCGAGAUAACAAACAUAGAUUCCAAGGGCUCUAAAAUCGAAUUACUAAGUUAAGGAGUAAUUUACUUACCUUUACAAAUGAAUACGAUGGAAAAUAGAUGAAAGUCGCCCAAGUCGCUUCUACUCUUCCCCAAAACAUAGCCAACCAAAAGAUAUCAUGAAUCAGACGUGUUACUCAAAUCAACUAUUAGUAUGUACCAUGCAUGGUACCAACGCCAACUAGCAAUCACAUAUUACAACGAAUAAAAAUCACACUUGUCAUACAUUUUAUAGAUAAUAUUAACGAAGCAGUUAACAUGCACAUAUGACAUAAACUAAAAAUAAACAACAAUCACCUACCUCGAAUCAAGCCCAUAAUGCUCUGUUGAAGCUAAACCUUUUCCUUGUUAUGAUGCCUAACUAGUUCUUGAUCUAAAAAUAAUAAAUAUAACACAUAAUCAGAUCCAAAUGACCUAGAAACACUUGAAUUAUAUCAUAAUCCCAACCCCGGGCCAUUCUAUGAUUAUCCCACCCAAAUAAGGGUUUUCCAUCAUACUCCCCCCCCCCCCGAGAUAACAAACACAGAUUCUAAGGCUCUAAAAUUGAAUUACUAGGUUAAGGGAGUAACUUACUUACCUUUACAAAUGAAUACGAUGGAAAAUAGAUGAAAUUCGCCCAAGUCGCUUCUGCUCUUCCCCAAAACAUAAGUGCCAAAUAAUGAGCAGAUUUGGGUGGGGGUGUGCAUAGGUCGAUUAGGUUUUAUGUAUUAUCAGUUUGAUUUAUCGAUUUUCAGUUUUAAAAUAUGCUAAACCAAUAACAAACUAAUAAGAUAUAUUCAAUGUAUCGAUAAUGUUUUAUUUUGGUCCUUAGUAUAUUUUACAUGAUUGAAAUGGUCCAUGGUCCAUAGUAUAUAAAAGAGAUGUUCAUUUUGGUCCUUCAUAUGUUUCAUUUGAUUGAAAUGAUCUUUAAUGGAUAACAAAAUGUGUUUAUUUUGGUCCUUUAACCUAAACCUAACAUAUUUAUCCAUAAAAUAGUGUCAAAUUUAACUAUGACCCUACGUGGCUAACAAAAUUCACCAUUGUUGUCUUCUUUGUUAGCUCCAUAGAAAGAACUCCAUAAAAUCUAACAGUACUAUGAUCUCUACUUUCUCUAACAAAAUUUAAUUUUCUAUUCCUUACAAUAUUUUUGUGCUAAGCAUAUAAUUUUUUGAAUCUUGAAGUAAAUUUUGUUGGAGAAAGUUGAGAAAAUGGUGUUAGAUUUAAUGAAGUUCUUUCUUUGGAUUUAACAAAUUAAGAAGACAACAAUGGUAAAUUUUGUGAGAUUCAUAUAGUUAAAUUUAAUAUUUUUUGGAUAAAUUUAUUAGUUUAGGAUUAAAAAAAUCAAAAUAAAUACCUUUUGUUAUACGUUAAAGAUCAAUUCAAAUCAAGUUUAUAAUAAAUUUUAAUGUACGUGAUAACUUUUGUAUAAAUUGUAUGUGGGUGAGAUUGACGUUGAUUAUAAGACUAGUGACUGAGCUAAAAAAGUAAUUAAGGUAGUGUUAAUAUUCUGUGAAGGACUAAUGUAAGAAGUAACGUAUGAUUAAGGAGAAGUCAAAUGUGAUAUAAUAGUAUUGUUGUAUUUAAUCUAGGUUGGUUUAUGAUGUCUACUCAAUAUCAAUACGUGUGGUGUACUUAUACUACCUUUUGAUGGUGUAGGUAGGUUUGUUUUAGGUUGAUUGAAACGUGAGAUGACAGUUAUUCAUCAACCUUCUACAUACUUUGUCCUCAAGUAAGAGUUGGGUUGAUCUUUUGUGUAUUUUGUUUAUCUUAUGCCCGUACUUUAUUAAAAACUCUUGUACCAAUCUCGACUAGGUCCUUGGAAGUUGUUAAGAUUUUGUAAUGUUGAGUGAUUUUUUCUUAUUGUUGUGUUUUGUCAACCAAAUUCAACUCUUUAAAGAAAAUUUUCAAGUUAAUUAAAAAUGUAUGGUAAGAAUUCGCCUAUUUAAUUAAAAAUAGAGCAGGUUUUCAUAUGAUCCGGUAAUUUAAAUUUUGACAAAGUGUAGGUGGAUUCUCCGAUUUGUAUAGACAAUUCGUAAGUACAAUACUCCAUAAUUAACAAAAAAAAAAUGAAAUUUUCGCAAGUUAUUUCAAAAUAAUUAUUAGAAAUAAAAAGUUUAAGAUAAAAGAUUUGAUAAUAUCCACCACCUUGUGAAAUAGAUCCUACUAAGACAAAUCCCAGAAAAAACAAAAAAAUUAAUGAAGUAAUUUUCCAUUAUAUGACUGGAAUUAAUUCACAACAGAUUUUCUCUAACCAAAAGUCAAAGAAAAUUAAAAGUGAACAUCCCAAAUAAAAAAAAUCAAAAGUUCCAUUUUUUUCAACAACAAAAAUUCCAUUUUUCGUAGUGCAAAAAUCGGAUCUAGACAUGUACUAUGAUUGAUCAAGGUUUUCUAUUAUUUGAUAACCAGAAAUAUCAAAAUUGGAGAUUUUUAAUAUUUAAAAUAAAUAUAAAUUACUUGAAUUAACUCCUUAAGUACAUCAAUUAACGACACUUAUUGAGUAGUGAUCUGAAUUCAUUCCAAUAGUCCAUAAAAAGAAUUAAUAAAAUCAAUAGAAAAUAAAAAGAGAAAAAACAAUGAAUGAAGGUAAAAGAAAGUUAAGAUACAAGGCAAAAACAAUAUGCGUAUUAAAUUGUUUUAAAUACAAUAUAAAUAAAAUAAGAAUAUUUUUUUAAAAAGUUUAUUUUUUUAACAAAAAGUAAGAAAAAUAAUUUUAAAAAAAUAUUUACACACGUGGCAGGUGGAGUGUACAAACACAACCAAUUUGGUAGUUGAAGGUACCAUGUCAGCACAAAAAUACGAAAAAAUUGAGUUCGGAGGAGGGGGGGGGGGGCGGGGCUGGGGGGGGGGUNNNNNGGACGGGACGGAGAGGGGGAUAGGACCCUAGUUAAGUUUAGGUGUAUCUCUAAGAUUUCGGUCAUAGUCUAGGGGAGUACUUGUCCCAUAUCCCAAAACUAAAGAGAAAAUUACCCAUUAGCAUUAUACCAUCAACAUUCAAUGUACUUGGCAUGCGUAACAACGCUAUCUUGCUAUGCCACUGCACCAUUCCAUGCAAAUGUUCUGUCAAUGAUGUCAUGAUCCGAGUCUACACUUUGGACGUGGCCGACAUUAAAGAACCAUUACUGGUCCCCAAGCGAACCCUCAUCAUGGUUGACUAUAAGCCGAAUACUAACUUAAUCAUACAAAAUCUUAAAACUGAAUAAAAUUCACUAAACUCAACUUUUCAAAACUUUAACUCAAAUGAACAACUUAGAAUAAAAAUAAUAUAGUCAACUCACCAUAAAAUAGGCAACUUAAGUCUUAAAAAUAUUUAAUAAAAUAAAUGAAUAAUACAAACUUCUCAACUAUACUGACUAUCUAUAAAGCCUCUAACUAAUAAAGACAAAAGUCGGGAAAAGACCCACGACAUCCUGACUAAACUGAAAAGUAAAUGAAAUACUCCAGAAAUAAGAGAGGCUCACCAUAGAUAACUAAAACUCUCGAAUGUAUCAAAGAAUCUCCUAUUGAUGAUCCCGAAUACCUGUGUCUACAACAUGAAAAGAUGCAGGCCAAAUGGCUCAGUACGUAGAAUGUACGAGCAUGUAAGAGNNNNNNNNNNNNNNNNNNNNNNNNUUGAAACUUGAUAAAAAGGAAACAUACUUACGUUUUCUCAAACUUACUCAACUCAAGGAAUACUCAAAACUACUCAACUUACUCAACUUAGAAGUACUCAAGGAUAAGAUACUCAACUCAAAGAUAUGAUAUUCGACGCUGGGUACUCAACUCUGGAUACUCAACUUAAUAUAAAACAACAAUACACAUGCAAUAUAUGGAAACUUUAUAAAACAGUAAAAACAACUUAGUUCUUCAAAGAAAAUGCAAUAACAAACUCAAAUUUACUUAUAUAAUAAAGUAAUAUACUUUUUGUGGGAAUUUUUCUAACCUACAACCACCACUAUUAGCCUAAGUGGUGAUACACCUUCUUGGCCACGCUGCUAGAACUGUCCUACACUUUGCCUUCAUAUAGAACGCUUAACUUAGUGGAUCCAAUAGCUUAUGCUAAGAGCAUCUUAAGGAGUCAUCUAAAAAGUAUGAUCAUUUACUACUCAUGAUGGUAACUUAUGGUAAAAGAAUAUUAAGGAGUCAUCUAAAAAGUAUGUUCCUUUACUACCCAUGAUGGCUACAUGGUUUAUGGAGAUGUGAGUUAUCUGAACUCAAAUUCGCCCCAUAUCGGUGCUUGAUACUACUCCCAAAAUAUACUUAGCUCAUCUGUUUUUAAAACAACUUCUUCUCUGAUUGGAGAUAAUUACUAAAACUUAGCUUAAAAGCUCUCUUGGAAAUUUCUGUUUCCUUUCUUGCUCAAAUGUGAAAACAUUUAUAAACUCUUUGGGAAUACUUAGUUCCCAUAUAUCAUUUUAAAGAAAAUGAACUUUACUCUUAGUCUUUACUCAAUUUCAAAUCUUAAGUCUUAAAACAAAGUUUAAAUAUUUGUAAAAGACUUCUUAAAAUAUGGUGCACGCCGAAUUAUGGACUUGAACGACUCAAUGCAAGGUUUUCAAUAACCAUAGAUAGAACUCAAAUACUUGGAACUCAAGAACUUCAAUGAUACUACUAAUUUCAAGAAUGCUCAAAUCAGAGAGUUCAUGCGGAAUUAUGAGCAUGAACUACUCAAAUCAAGGACUCAAAGAUACUUCUCAUCUCAAGAUUUGCUCAACUUAUAAUGUUCAUGCGGAAUUAUGGGCAUGAACAACUCAACUCAUGGACUUCAUGGGUAAUAGGUAAUAGUCCCAUGAUUAGGAUUAUAAUCUCGGAAGGGUUUGGAACUCGAUACUCAAGACUUAGAACUUGAAGAUACUAAUCCUUUCAAAAAUACUAAACUGAUGGAGUUUAUGCGGAAGUUAUGGGCAUGAACGACUUGACUCAAGGGUCAAAGUAUCAAUAAGGAACUCAGGUAUACGACUCUUCUCAUUCUCAUACUUACUUCUCAAAACUUAACUCAAAUCUAUGGUGGAUAUCAAAAGAUUCACAAUUGAACUCAAAGACUUUCUUGAACUCUACUCUUAACUCUCUCUUGAAUGUGAAUUACGAAUUCAAGAGUUAUGGUUCAUGAUACGAAGGAUAUAGGUGAUAGUGUAAACUCAUGAAUACAUUCUCCUCAAUCUCAUGCAAACUUACUCGAGUCUUGAAACAAGUUAUUAGAAGUUGUAGAAGACUUCUCAAAGGACUCAAAGGGUCUUUCUCAAAAGUUAUGAAAGAACUCUCAAGACUUGACUCUCAACUCUACCUUGAAUGUGAUUUAUGAACUCAAACUUGUGAUUUGUGAUAGGAAUGAUCUCGUGAUGUUUAGGAGUGUUUUUAGAUAGUUAAACAUGAAAAACGAUCAAGAAAUCACUGUCUGGAAGUAAGUCCGCGACGCGGAAAUGAAUUAAAAUAUUUGGUCGCGAAUUAACUUUUGAGGCUGAGAAGUCCAUGACCUCUCCGCGAUGCGAAGACAAACUUUAUGGAAUGGGGAGGCAGGUCCGUGACGUGAAACAAGGUGCCAGAUUCGCCCGACUUUUUACUUCUUCGUUUUCUAACCCCAAUUCACCUAAACUCGGUUCUUUUU
rnacentral:lncRNA from 1 species